GUAACUUGUUUAACAUUAAUUUAAUUAUUGGCACAUAGUACCUUUGCAUAACAGUGAGGUUCUUUGUGGUCUCUUCACAGGCACACCCAGGACAAUUUGGUCAUUUCGUUUCCCAGAAUCUUCUGAAUCCUCUUCAGAUACCCUAUUGGUCUUCCUUCUAUGUUCUUGAGAUCCCCCCUUUUCCUUUUUUUUCUUUCUAGUUUCCACAUAGAAGAGAAAACAUAGGACCCUCGAUGGAUGUUCUGAGUCUGGCUUAUUUCACUUGACAUGAUGUUCUUCAGAUCCAUUUAAUUUCCUGCACAUGAUGUAAGUUUAUUCUUCUCUAUGACUGCAUAGAAUUCCAUUGUGUAUAUAUACCGCAUUUUAUUUAUCCUGUCAGCAAAACGGUCACUUCCAAAUGUUUCUGCCAGCUCUGGUCAUGCUCUAGGGCAGACUGAAGUCCUGAAUAAUACCUGUUUUGUUACACCAUUGCAACGUGUGGUCUGUGAGUUGGAAAAAGACCUGAGGAUUCUGACACAGGGUAGCAGACAUUGUUUCACGAGCAUCGCUGAAAUUCUGUGGCAUGAAAUUUAGGAUUAAAGGAGGUGAUCAAGUCAGUCAAUUUUAUUUUAUUUUUUUGGUACUGAGGAUUGAACCCAGAGGAGGUCCACCACAGAACCACAUCCCCAGCCCUUUUUUAUAUGUUUUUUAUAGACAGGGUCUUGCUGAGUUGCUAAGUGCCUUACUGAGGCUGGCUUUGAACUCGCAAUCUUCCGCCUCAGCCUCCCGAGCCCCUGGGAUUAUAGGCAUACACCAUUGUGCCCAGCAAGUCAGUCAAUUUUUUAAACUAUGAUUUCCCAGGGUUUGUCCUAAGUCCUUGAGAUUCAACAAAAGUGCAUGUAUUGUACAAGGAAGAAAGGCUAGGGAGAAGGUGGGGGGGGGUCUCACAGGUAGAGCAUGUCUACAUUGCAGUGAAGACUACAGAUAUCUAUGGGGGCUAAACAGAGGCAUUAAAAUACAUGUUAUUAUAGGAGAAUGAACCAUGUGACCAGAAGGACAAAGUGAUAACAUUUAUAAUGGGAGCAGAAGAGAAGCAAGGGAUGACAAGGGCCUUUACUCUCCAAGUAUCACCCACAUCUCUUCUGUGGCCAAAUAAAGAGAAUGAGGGAAGAUAGUAGUGACUCUAGUUGAAUAUUUUAUUUCCCUUAAGAUAGAACAUUAUUUUUCAAAAAAUAAUUAUGAAACAUCUGAGCCAAACUUAACUAUAUAUGCUUUAUAAUCUAGAUUCUUGGGUACUCUACAGAUUCAGUACAAUUUUUAUGUGCCACUAUGAUUUGUUUUUUAAUUUUUUUUUGAAACCAGAGAUUGUAGAUGAUAUUUAUUUAUUACACAGUGUACAUGCAUUUAUACACACACUAAAGUUUGAGAACUGGGAGGGCAUAAGAAGCAAUGGACCAACCUGGCUCUUACAGCAAUCUAACAGAUGUUGGUGAAGAAAUUUUAAGAAAUGUCACCAUUUUAUCCAAGAGUACAUUAUGGUUCAGGAAGGGAAAAUGGAGAAUAACCAGGCUGCUCUGUUCUACUUUAUAAUAGCAGAUUUCGAAAGCUUAAGUAAAAUACUGGCUCCAUUUCAAAUCACAAGUCUUUGAAAAAGAAAUAGCUUGAAAGGGUUGAGCUUCUCUUGAAAUUCAACUCAGUGUGCAAUUAUUUGACCUCCAUGGGAUGAACUGGCAAGGUAUCUAAGCGUGCCAAUGUGGUUGUCUAUGUGGAGGGCUCUCCGAGCUCUGCUUCCCGAGAGGAAGUGCACAAGAUUGAGCAGUAGUUAUGGGACUUUCCAUUCAGGGGUACAUAGAAGAUGUGGCACAGAAUCAUUGUGUAUAAGGAUCGCCUUUUCUGAAACAAACUCGGGCUGCUAAAACACAGAACACAGCCCAGGCUGAUGUACUUAACUCACUUAUUCCUUUAGCCUCUUCAUUUCAUAAGAUCUAGGAAAAGAAGGCCUUGCUUUUAGGAUUCGAGGUGAAAUGAUAAGAGCUGAUCUCAUUAACUGCUAUCCAUUUUCCAGGUUUGGACUUAUUUUCCUAUAAAAUGUACUUAUAAAAAUAAAAAUGCCACUGAAAGAGAACUGUUUUUCCCAAACAGAACAAAGUUGAAUUUGGAACUAUGACACUGCUCUGUGACUUUUUAAAAAAACUUCAUUGAGUGUCAUUCUUCUUAUCUUUAAAAAGGAGGGAUAAUAAAUAUUGGAUUUGUUAUAAUAAAGAAAUAAUAAAUAAAAAAUGUAAAACUCUUGUGCAGAUGCAUAAAAUAUUGCCUUUUAAGUCCAAUUUCUGUUGACAGUUUCUUAGCUAUUAAAGGUUUUUGCAAAGAAAAUAGGAAAUUGAUGAACAUAUGUGGAACCCACAUGUUACAUAUUUCCAUACUGAUUGGAAAAUGGAAGAUGUAUCAAAACAAUGCUGUUCUGAUUUUUAUAGUGGAGAUUCCAGAUUCAGAAAACUGAUGGUUAGUUCGUUUAAUACUGAUUUUGUGCAUAUCAUCCUCCAAAUGAAAAAUUUACAUAUAUGCAAGACAUAAGUUGAUGCUGACUAGGUCCAGAUAGGAGUUCACUAAAGGAAACAUGCAUUGGAUAAAUUGAAUUCCAUUUUUUAUUAACUCUUAAAAAUUUGUUCUAAUUAGUUCUAAUGACAGUAGAAUGCAUUUUAACAUGUCAUACAUAACUGGAGUAUAACUUCUCAUUCUUCAGGUUGUAUAUGACGUAGAGUUGCACCAGUCAUGUAAUCAUAUAUGCACAAAGGAAAUAAUGUUUAAUUCAUUCUACUAUCCUUCCUACACCUAUACCCUCUCCCCUUCCUUCUCUCUCUCUGCCAAAUUCAAAUACCUCCAUUCUUCCCUAGCGACCCCCCCCCCCCGCGCCUUUAUUGUGAAUUAGCAUCUGCAUAUGAGAAAAAACAUUCAGCCUUUGGUUUGGGGGGAUUGGCUUAUUUGGUUUAGCAUGAUAUUCUCCAGCUCCAUCCAUUUUACAGCAAAUGCCAUAAUUUCAUUCUUCUUUAAGGCCGACUAAUAUUCCAUUGUGAAUAUAUUGACAGGCUAUUAGAAGUAUAGACCAGGGAAUUGGGCUCAACAAAAGCACAUGAAUUUUACCAAGGUAAUUGGUAAAAAUCCAUAUCUUAUAGUUUCUUUAUGUUAAAGAAAUUAAAAGCUACAUCUAUGAGUGUUUGAUUAGGAACUGAUUGAAUGAUUAUACUCUUCCAUGCUACUAAUUUUUCUCAGAAACCUGGUUAUUGCCUCUUAAAACUUGUGAAUAUAAAAAAGAAAGCGAAACUAGAGAGGAGAUGUAAAAGAAGCCAAAGGGAAGAAGGAACAAAACAAAAAUUGCCAUGUUGGGGAUUGUAGGGCGAAGGUGAGGCUUCAUUCCAACUUUGAGGAUACAGCAGCCCUGAGGUGAGCUUGUCCCUGGAGUGACCAAUCUUUUCCCAAGGUCCACCCUCAUCCUCGAUGCUGCACAGGAUUACUGGAAAGGCAGGUUCUCAACCUCCAGAGCGAGGAAAAGGCAUCUCGAUACAGUGAAGAAAGGCUGCGAAUAAAAUCUUAAAAACAAUGUCUCUUAAAAGUCAGCAUGAGAAGCCGGCUGCUAAUUGGGUGAUAAGUACAGGUGGCUGGGAUGGGUUUCCUUUGCAGCUUUGUGCAUCUGUUUUCCUCCUUCCUCGUCUCCUCCUUUCAGUGGAAGAACAAUUGGCUCCGUUUAAAGUGGGCACAGGUGUGGCCCUGGAGCACCGAGAGAAUCAGGCUGUGGAUCCCCAAAUAAAGCUAGUUGCCACCUUGGGAAGAGCUCUGGUUUGCCUUUGACUCCUGGGCUAAGCUGCCUGUGCUGUUUGUAUUAGUUUUCAGGGUCCAGGGUAAAGUCCAGGAUUUCCUGGGCUUUCCUCUUUCUCUCUUGAAAUUGAAACAUGCGCUAGGUUGCUACCUAGACAAGCCUCUUUUUUUUUUUAAGUGAUUGUUAGGUGUUAUUCAAAAUAGUCCAGUCUUCUCUUAGUCAUGGGGAAGUGCUCACCCACCCGACCAGCUGUUCUGGGUGGAGUCAUCACCCUGUGCAGGCCAGGGUCCUGGGUGUAGUUCCUGAGCCGGGAGGCAGGGGGAGUCCCUGGGAGGAAGCAUGGCGCUGCAGGCUAGGGUUCCUCCUGUUUUCUUUGCUGCGUGUGUGUCUGGUCUGCAGUGUGUCCAUUUCAAGGUUUCCAGCCUUGUUAGGAUUUGUGUGUUUUCCUUUAUGUUUUAUUUUUGCCCUUUUGGUGGUAACUGAAAGGAGAUGGUGGGUGAACGCACACAGCAGCUGAGGGUUGAAAGGUUUCUGUAAUAGUGUCUUUUUUCCUUUUUUUUUUUUUUUUUUUAAGUACCAGGGAUUGAGCCCAGGGGCGCUUAACCACUGAACCACAUCCCAGCCAUUUUCAUUUGGAGACAGUCUCGAUAAUUUAAGAAAGAAACAAGAACAAAGCAAGACAGAAAUCUCUUCAUUUAGGAAAUGCCGAUACAGCAUUUUAGCCUUAGAGAAAUAAUAAAAAAAAACAUGUAGCUACUGGAACAUUGUGAUAUAAUUGUCAUUAUUCCAAGUUUACAGAUGAAGAAACUAAAGCAUAAGACAGUUUAUGUCCAUGGUCCCAAUUAAUGAGUAGAAGAGCUGGGAUCUGGCCCAAGUCUUUGACUCCUAAGGCUGAGGUGCACAAUAAUCACUGUAGCAAAAGCAAGAGAUUGGGGCAUUUAAAAGGGUUUUUAAAAUCGCACUGAAAUACAGACUAAUGUAAUUCAAAUAUUGAUUUGUUGUCAUUGGUUUUCUGUCACAAAUCAAAUGUCUUUUUGCAUAGUUAUAAUUAUAGAGAUGACCCAUUUUUUGAAAACAUUAUUGUUUAGGUUUUAUUUUUAUUUAAAAAAAGAUAUUAAAAAUUUUGCUGGGAAUUUAGCUCAGUAUCAGAGCACUUGCCUGGCAUGUACAAAACCCUGGGGUCAAUCUCUAGUACAAAAAAAAAAAAAAAAGAAGAAGAAGAUUGCUAUUAUAUACAUCUUUUUGCAUUUGUUUUCACUAUUUUCUUGGGACAAUUUCCACAAAAUAGAAAUUUCAAUUCAAGAAGGAUAAAACUUAUUUUUCCUAUUAUAUAUCGACAAGUUGAUUUUCAAAAAUUUUUUUCCAAUUAACCUCAACCUCAUAGUGAACACUGUUUCUUUGUAACUCUCCCAUGGUUAUUCGCCUUCGCAAAGGGUUUUAGUGAGCUCACUUUACUUCUAAAGUCAAAGUGGUGGUUCCUCUUAAAGCUAUGGGCAAUAAGGCUUGGUGAUUACUACCAAUAAAAAAGACAAAAAGUCUUUAUUAUUGAGUCCAACUCUAAUGUAAGAGAAGUGCAAAAGGGUUGCAGAAAGAUAAGAUGUUGUUUGGCUUCGAAUAAAAAGAAAAUGUAAUUCUGAUAAUCGGACAUGUGAACUCACAUGGAGAGCACCAAGCUCUCUAUUGCCUAAUAGUUGAUAUUUAUGAGGUAAGAAAGUCAGCCCUGCUUUCCCAGUGGCAUUGUUUGAAAAUAUGAAUUCUUCUUUGAUGAAGGGUGGCACAUUAAGAACAGUUAAAAAGAAUAGCUCUUUACUUGCAGAGAUGAAGAUAAGGGAACGUGAUACCCUUAAGAGCAUAAAAGACAUUACUCAGCCCCAUGUAGCAAAACCGGAAACCACAUGGCAGAGAUUUAUGUAACAUGAGGUUGAUAUGAGAAGGGACUUUAGAAUAUAUUAGAGAAAAUAUAGAAGGAUUAGCAAGAACUAAUGAAUUGUUGCUCACUUUUUUGAAAUUCUACCAAGUUCCUGAUGAGAAGUUGGAUUUGAAAAAACUUAACUUUUACCACUGGGCUGCCCCCGUACAUUAUGGCUUUUCUUAAGUGUGUAUUUGAUCUAUCUGAAAUGUCAGUCAGACUCCUGGGUCUGCGUACAACACAGAGGAGAACUGUGUCAAUACAGUUCUGAAAAAUUACAUUUCGAUUAUGUAAUUAAUCAGUUUUAUUUGUGUAAAUCACUAAAAUGGAAGGACUUAAAAAAUUUUUUUGUGAUGUUUGAAACGGUCAUUUAAGAGAUAUCGGCAAUAGUUUUUAAUUUUCUAUAACCAGAAAAACAAUGGAGAGCAGUGUCUUAGGAGAGAUGUAUUUUGUUUCUUAAAGGCAUAUGGACUCACUGUCUACAGAUUCAGCAAAUUUUAAACUGAAAAUAUUUUUUAAAAAAUGCAUCUAUACUGAAUAUGUACACACUUCUGUUCUUUAUUUCCUAAAAAAUACAGUAUAAGAACUCUUUACAUAGAAUUAUAUUGUAUUAGAUAUAGUCAUUAAGAUAGACAUGACUUCAAGUUUAUGAGAAGGUGUUUGCAGGCUACAGUAUUUCCACACAAUUGGCUAAUUGUCUUAAUCACUAUGAUUUAAAUUUAUUUUUACACAUUGUUUUUCUGAAACAUCCAAAUAACAGACUUUUUAUUCAAAAUUUUCAAGGAAAUAUUUCAAAGUCCAAAUUUUCUCCAGAUUAGAUGAUAUAUAUUCUUUGUCAUUAUAUAUCAAGUCAAGCAUUUUGUGGUAAAUUAAAUGUAGUAUUUACUAUUAUAGAUCAAUUACAUCAGUUCUUUUGGAGUAUUUUGAUGUUCUCCAGGGAAGUUAAUUAUUAAGGUAGGGAACCAGUAAGGUGUGCCUGUAGCUUCUUGGAACCUGAAUAGGAAAUGGGAAAAUGGGAUUGAUGUGCCUUUUAGUAGGUAGGCCAAAGGCAAGGGAGCCAGAUACCAUUAAUAUAUGCUUUCAAGAUUGCUGCACCUUGAAUAGCUGAUUUUGAAAAAUGACUCUCGGGGACAUGGAGUGGGCUGUGUGCAGGACACAGGCUGCCAUGCAGGCACAGGUACGAAGUUCAGGGUAUUUAUCAGUAAGAAAGCAAACUCAGUUCCAGUGGCCUAUAAAUCAUGUAAUACAAAGCGAGGCAUCUAUUUUUAUUAUGGAUCACUUUAUAGGAAGUAAAUGCUUCUGUUUCCCAUAAUCUUUAGGCAUAUAAAUGAGAAAAUUCUAAACAAAUGGAAUGGUCCAUAUAAGGAAGCAACCUACCUACUUCUAAAGUCAUCUCCCAGGGGAUCUCCAGUAGGUUCCUAACCUGACUAGCAAGAACAGACAGAUAGGAGUUAAAUUUUUAUGGUCAUUACAUUAGUUUUCUCAAAAUUUGCUCACAUCCUUUCCCUGGCAGGGUCUGAUUGCCUGUCAUGUGCCAUACUAACUACAGGGUGGUACCAGUCCCAGCCCCAGUAUGUUCAAAACUGUAUUGUUUCCACUUCUCCAUAUUAUUCUAUCACAAAUCGACUUCUCAAUAAGUAAUUGUUAUCACACCUAUUUUGUUAGCUGCUUUUUGUUGGUUUUGUGUUGCAAAUUAAUUAUUGAAAGCUCUAAAUUCCUAAAUCUUCACCCAGCUGGAGAAAACAAGAGCCCUUCUCUACAAGGGGUAGGGAGAAAAGGGGAACCAGUCAGGUCCUCAGGGACUUCAGAGACAGAAUUUGUGCAGAACGGAUGCAGUCCCAGCCCUCUAGGUUUAAAAUGGAGACUUCAAAGAGAAAACCCAAAUGAGAGUCCAUGAAGCAAUCGCCUCUUUCUUGAUUCUCAAGGCUUUGUUUCCUAGUUUCAUAGCCAGAUAUGUUCUCCUGGUUCAGAUCAGAGCAUUUCUUUAAAAUGAAGUGAAGAGUGUGUCUGAGGUGGGAAUGCUAUUACGUUCUCUGAGUUUCUCCCUUCAUUUUGGUAACUAAUAGCCUGACAGAAAGCUUUUUAAUAUGUUAAACAUGUUAAACUCUCAGCAUCUUUUGAGAAUACAGUGUAUCAUCAUUAACUAGUAUCACCAAGGCAUUAAAUAUUCUCAACACAGUCAUGAUAACUCUGUGAAAUAAUGCCUAUUUUAAUUAGCUAGGUUUGACCUUCCCACAAUGUGUGUGUGUGUGUGUAUACACACAACACACCAUAGUGUACACAAGAAAUACACAAAAUUUUACCUACUGAUGUAAAAUAAAUUUUAACCCAUAAAUUAGUGUUGUAAAUAAUCAGUGACUGCUGUUUAAAACUUUUACAUUUUCAAAGCAUCUUAGAAUGACCUUGAAGCUCCACUUUGUCUCAGGAAGGAUUUUCCUUGCUCUCCUAUUAUGUCUUUGCCCUUGAUUACAUCCUUCUGUGGCCUUCCAUCCCCUGACAACUGAUAUGCGAACACUCGAGCAUGGCUUAGAGCAGUGGUUCCCCUGACUGCCUGGGCCAAGUCCUCUUCUGGGGCUGCUACAGGACAGCUUGCUGGCCUCUAUCCUCAGUGGCUCAGGUCCGUGCAUUUGUAGUGGGGCCUGAGAAGGUUCCCAGGUGGUGCUGGUGCUGCUGGAUCAGGGGCCCCAGGUACGGAACUGCUGGCACAAAUGCUCUCCUUCUGCAGCCAAGAUGAACCCCAUCUGGACACUUCUCAUUCUCCAUGUGUUCAUUAAACUGUGUGCAAAUGUGAGUGUUCCUUCAUUCCUCUCUGCUCCUGCUCCCCAGGGUCUUGCAGCUGGACUCCUCUCUGUGAGGUCGUCUGUGACCGCCCAAGAUCUCCUCCUAGUCUCUCUUGCCGUCCUUCCCCACCCUUCAGCAUGGGUCUUACUCUCAGUAUAUGGCAAGUUCCUUGAGAACCUUCACUUUAUUCUGUACAUUCUUGUUUCCUUUUCUUGUAACUGAGUUUGGACUUUCUUGGAAGACCUAAAAACACUCAUUAAAGUCGUAAGUUUUACCUGCCAUUAUGCAGUAGUUACAAACAAAUACUUUGGAACAAAAUGUCCUGGAUUCAAAUCCCAGUUUUGCAGCUUCUGUCUGUGUAACUGUGGGCAGUUAAUUAAUCUGAGCCAGAGUUUCUGCAUCUGUGUAAGCAGGUGGCAUUCACCCAUUGCUCCUGGUGUUGCUGUGUUCUGUGACUAAAUGCAUAUUUGGCAGGCAUGCCAGGAGCACCUGAGUGCAUUUACCUGUUGGAAAUUAUCUUAGGGUCUUAUGUUUUUGACAACCAUGAAUAAAGCUGCUGUAAACCUUUAGUGCAGGCUUUUGUGUGAACAAAAGUUUUUAACUCAUUUGGAUGCAUACCUGGGAGCAGUAUGGCUGGAGCACUUGGUGAGGGAAUAUUUAGCUUUCUGAGGACGUGCUGAACUGUCUGUCAAAGUGCCUGUACUAUUUGCAUUCCCACUAGCACUGAAUGAGAGUUCUUAUUUCCUUACAUCCUCACCAGCAUUUGAUGUUGUCAAUGUUUUAUAUUUUAGCUAUUUUAGUAGGAGCAUAUGUUUACAUUUUUAAAUAUCUCCUUCCCAUAAAACUUCCUCGAUUCAUUACUGGCCAUGUGCUGGAGGAUGGUGCAUUGAUCAUGACCCACUGAAAUGUCCAGUGCUGGAGAGUCUUAGGUUCCUGAAUGGAAGCCAACUUCAAGAGAAACAUGCCACUCUAACUUCAUCAAGAGAGCUACCUGGUGACCAGGCACAGUGGCAGACACCUGAAAUUCCAACUGCUCUGGAGGCUAAUGAAGGACAAUCACAAUUUCAAGGUCAGACUGGGAAAUUUAGCAAAAUCCUGUCUCAAAAAUAAAAAAGGUCUGGGGUGUCACUCUGUAGGCAAGUGUUAGACUAGGAUGUGAGGCCCUGGGUUUGAUCCCCAGCAUGGGGGUGGGGGUGGGGACUGGUACACAGCAUGACUAGAACCCAAGUUACCUGAGGAACACUCUUAUCAAUCUUGGGAAGAGGGCAGUGCAGGCAAGGACUGACCUUUGACCUAAUCUCUCUUAAACCAUGUGGGAUUUCAUGAGACUGACCUUAAUAAAGCACGGUGUAGGGAGAAGAGUGAAGGCCUGGAACUGAGCCCUGGUUAAUGUAUCUGAUUUGCCACUACUUAAUCUGGUGACCUCCAGCAAGUCACUUAACCUCUGGACCCCAGAGAGAGUCGUACUGUAUGUUUUAUAAGAUCCCUUUAAGCUCCGAAACCCUAUGAUUCUAAAAUCAACCUUGCGUCUGCUCUGUCAGCACAGAACAAGGGAGACGGCCCAGGCAGCCCUCACUUUGAGACAGACAGUGUGUUUCAUCAAGCGGAAAACCCUCUUGAGUAGUCGUCAGCCUUUGAAGCUGCUGAGAUUUAUGACGGGGUGGCCUCAGGUAAAGUUCUUUGGGGGAGAACGUGGAACAUUUCAAAAAAAGGAGCCAUGCAUUUUGACGACCCAAGCUUGAGGAUCAUAGAAAAUAGCAUCUUUGACUGGGAAUUUGUGAUCAGUGGCAGCAGGGAGUUUGGAAAUGGAGUGAAAUGGACCCAUUUUCAGAGCCCUGGUUUACAGCCAUGCUCCGUCACACUGAGAGUCUUUAAUUUUUUUUUUUUUCAUUUUAGGUGAAGUUAGGAGGAUUGUAUGACAGGCAAAUUAAAAAUCGAGUGUGGUGACCAGGAACACAGAGGGAAUGACAGAAAAGGGCAUCGUCAGCAGGGUGAUGAGACACACCUGUGGCACCUGUGGCUAAGGCAGUUUUUAGGGGCCAAUGAAAUCGCCUCUUUCCCUUUGAGGCUGAUGGCUGGCAUGAUAUUGCCAGGAAUAAAAAUCCAUCGUUAGCUUUAAGAAAAUGAAAGGUGCCUCUCACCUGUUUCUGCCAGGCUUACAUCUUUAUCUGCAGUCCCAUCUCCCACAGAGCUAAUUGGUCAUUUGCGAAAGACUCUGGGGAGCAGGAAGCCAACUAGUUAUGAGAGAAGGCCUGAUGAUUUUUACCAACUCCCUUUGGUCGGAGAGUUGUCUUUAAUGAUAAUUGUUGGUUCUAAAAACUGUUCUUUAUGGUAGUGGAGGAAGAGAAUACCUGCUCAUCUGUUAGGCUAUUUUAAUCUUUCUAAAAUGACCCCCCUGAGCCUUUAUCAAUUUCUUCAUCACAUUAUCAUCUCUAACUACCUGUGCCAAUGGCUGAGCAGGUGAAGCCAGCCACAAUGGGAACAGCUGUCUUCCCACUCACGUUCAUGGCAGGGCCAUCUGCGUGCACUAGAAGGUCCCAUGGGUAUUUCUGUUGUCGGGGGCCUAGAUCCAGCCUCCUGGUGAUGAACGGCUCCAACACAAUAAAAGUUAUUUUCUGAACACUUAAAUGUCAGGAGGUCAGUGGGUCAGCAAGGUAGCCCUUUCCACCCAGUUUCUGGCACUGGUGUGUGGAGGCUCAGCCAUCUUCAACAGAGCCUUCUCAGGCUGCCCUGGGAACAUCUGUUCAACCCACCGAAAACAGCGUGGGCCCUAGUGCACCAGGCAUUUUAUGGUACAAACCAGAAAGAGUCUCACAUCACUUCCGAUCAUAUUCUGUUGGGCAGAGCUUAGUCACAUGUCACCUGGGGGAAAAAAAAAUCUAGUCUCUGGCUGAGAAGCUGUUUUCCAGUGCAAGUCCCACUAUAAAAGACAGAACACAUACUCUUUGUGGACAUUAAGUGACUAUACAGUGUUGUAUGAAUUUGAGAAAUUAUAGGUUGACUGCAGAUGAGACAUUCUCUAAGAACUUUGUUUAGGAAAGAAAGUAGGAUGUAGAAAUAUGUAACACAGGAUUGCAAAAAAUUUCCUUACGCGAUAUGAGAAAAAGAUGCUUCAGUGAAGAUCUCCUUCCGUGGCCUAUGGUAUGAUGCGCAGGGACCCCAGCCCUGGCCUCCCCUGACCUGCUGCUCCCCACCCAGGACUGCAUUUGACAGCAAAGUCCCGACCCACCUCCCUGAGGGAUGAGAAAGGCCAAGGGAGCUGCGUCCACUCCCCUGUCCUCAAGGGGGCCUGCGGUCCAUGUGGUCUGCCCUGGUCAUUCACUAGUUCCACUGCAGACAAAGGAGCAGCCUGUGGGCCCCGACCCAGCUCAAAGGCGUUUCCUCUGCCAAACAUUUUCCUUUACCUUUUAGCCAAAUUUUGAUUUGGAAACCUGUCUCGGCUUCAGCCUCUCUUGUUUGUAUUUCCACGUUUUCUUGAGACACUGAUGUCCACCUGGCUGAUAGAAGCUACUGGCAUACCAUUAGUGUUUCCACCCCAUCACAAAUGCUCGGUCCUCCAAAAUGAAGCUUUCUUCACUUUCUUCUUCAAAAACCCCAUAGCCUCUGUCACUUUUUUUUUUAAACUAAAACAUUAGCUAACACUAAAACGUUAGGGACUAGUUAUACUUCAGUGCAUUACACUGCCCCAUUUUUUAAGUCCAUAGUCUGACUCAAAGGAUCAACAUUUCUCACUUGUAACCAAAUGAUCAUCUCUGGGACCCUCUUUCUAAAUGUGGCCUCUGUGCUAUGGCCAACUAAUCAUGUCCAUUUCCAUUUGCUCCUGGAAGUUUGUGCAGUGGUCCAGGGCUGUGAAGGAAGGGGGGAUCAGUUCCAUUAAAUAGCAACCGAAUCAUCGUCACAAGCCUCAGUUCCCCUUCCUGGGGCUGCAUUUGUGAGUAAAACCCUAGCAGCUCUGUGUUUGCAUUUCUUGCUUUUUCAGAAACUUGAGAACAAAUGUUGGGCCGUUCUCUGCUUUCCCCAAGGAGGAAUUUCCACCUCUUCCCGUCUUCCUCCUUCAUUAUUUUUCUUAUCAGUUUUCCUUCUAAGUGCCUAUGCACUCUGACCUCCUCUGAGAACCUCCCUCUCCAGUCCCUUCUCAUCCAAACAGUCAUGUGUGAUGAAUUUUAAUCAUCUAACAUAAGAGCUUUAUUACUUGGGAAUUUCAAAAAUUUCAUAAGUAAUUUGAGAGAUGUGUUUUGUAGCCAUGCUUGUAAUUAUUGUUCAGAUGUCAGCAUCCAAAAUCUUUAUUUUUUUUUUUUUGAGGGUGUCAAGCACUGUGGCAUCCUGUGUCCUUUAUCUCAAGAACACAAGAUAAGUACUUUGAUUUUUAUAUAAAAUUUACCUGUUUUGCUGAUGACAAUAAAAUUUCAGUUUUUUUCCUAAUGAAUAGAGAUUUCAUUGGUGCCAUCCAAGUUUUGCAAUUGACUAAUUCAUAUUUAAAUUCCAAGAUGGCAUUUAAAAAACUUUUGAUGAAUAUAUUUAUAUACAUAUCAAAACAUAUUUUGAGUUGUGGAGUUGGAAAAUUUUUACUCAAUGACUUUUCAACUAUUACUAGUUGUGUGAAUUAGGGAAAGUUUAUUUCACCUCUGUUGUUUAGUUUGCUAAUCUAUAUUUUGUGAUAAAAUCCUUAUAGAGAUGUUAUGAACAAUAAAUGAAAUUAAUACAUGUAAGAUAUUUGCAAUGGUUUCUAGUAUAUAGUAUGUAUACUUAAAAUAUUAUUUAUUGUUAAUAUUAUUGCUAUAUAAUAUCUCCUCUAAAUUCCUAAGAAAAUAAUUUUUAAAUUAUGUAAAAAUAUUUUAAGUCUAUAUAAUGUCAAAUAAUAGUCUCUAAGAAUAGUCUUGAACUCUUAGGAAGAUUAACAAAAUUUACAAAUAAAGUAACUAUCUUCAAGAACCAAAGUAAAAAAAAAAUGUUGAGAGAAUUAAAAUGCUCAAAGUUAUCUGUUGCUUUCAAAGAGCUAUUGGUGUUGAAGCAUUCGAUAGUAAAAUACAUUGCUUAAAAAUUGGAAACAAACAAAAAUAUGAAAAGAUAAGUUCAAAGGGUCAUGAGUAUAUGCUGAAGAUAAAACCUAGAAAAUGAGGUGAAAGUCAUGCAGAGGAGCAGGAGGAGCAAAGGUUACACAGAAAGACAAAAACAUGUAUGAGCACAGGAGAUGUGUUUUGUACUAUGCCAUCACCAAGGUAUACAGAAGCAUAAGUCAAUUUUUUUUUAAAGAUAGAUAAAAUCCAGUUGAGAAGAGUAAUGGUUCUGAAAUCACAAGCUUGAUACUUUGUGAUUCAUCUUGGGGACUGUUCUUCAUUUCCUUUUGGACAUUUUCAGUCUCUCCCAUACUUAACUCUCUCUGGGACUGGCUCAGUUCGCCUCUCCUUCCCUCUUCAAAUUCUGCACCAUCUGCUCCUGGUUCUUCUCAUCAUGUCUACUUUCUAACUUACCGAUUCUCUGUGCUGUACUCUAAAAGAAACUAAUGCCUGAGUCUAGUUCCAGUUAGAAUCUUUAGGGGGACUGGUCUUUCCUGUAUGAACCAACUACCUCUCUCAAAUCAUGGAUCCUGAUGAUUGCCACCACUGCCUGGAUACCCUGUAUUCCCUUUGUGACAUAGGUCAGCUGGCUCCACUUCUCUGCUUGAACUCCAGGGCUUUCUCUCACAUUGGAAGCCACAGUACAGGAUAGUGGCCUGUGAGCCUCUACCCAGAGCAUGAUCACUCUUAGGCUGAAAUAAACUUUAUGGAGAAAAUUGAAACAUGGUUAUAAAUGGGGACUUUGUGGGAUAGUUUGGGUGCUGAUUCAGUAGAAUGGCUUUAUGUAGAGAUUCAGGGAGUACUUGAGAGCUCUGCAGAGCUCCACCUCUCUUUGGCUUCUCUUUUAAACAUUUUAAACCAUUUCACUAUCACUGCAUGGGAAUGUUGGGACAGAUUUUCUUUUCUAUUGAUUCAGAUAUGCACGGAGAAAGAAGUUAUUUUUUUGUUAAGUCUAGCAGUCAUAUGCAUAUUUCCAAUGAUUAUCUAAAUUUAUUUAUGCAACUAACAAUUCUAUUUGAAGAGAAUUCAUGUGUGGCUAGUCAGAACCACACACCAUUCAUUUCUCAGGCAAUGGUAACAAGUAUGGGUUUUAAGUAGGGAUGGAACACAGUUACAUUUUCCUCAUGGCUCACCUGGGCAUUAUCCAUAGACACUUUGUGUCUUUAAACACACACCCUAAUUCCAAAAUAAUUGGUAACAAUUAUCUUCCCACUCUCAGUAUGCCUGCUCAUAAUGAGGUCUUUAAAGAAGAAUAACCAUGUACAUAAAUUCUUAUUUUCAAAGCAUAUAGUGGCUAUUCAAUAAAUAUUUGUUACCUAAGUAAUAUUUAUUUUCUCAGUUUUAUUUUUCUCUGUAUUAUCCUUUAAAAUAGUUACUAAUAUUGAGGUAAAUCUUCAGGAGCAGAUGAUUUAAAAUAGACAAAAUACAAACAAAUAAAAGAAAUACCAUUACAUUGCACUUACUUUAAGAAUUCAUAGCCACUUAUACUUUAAUAUUUUGUUUUCAUAGAUUUUAAUAUGAAUGAUUCACUUCUACAAUCCUCCUGAGUGUCUUAAGCAAGAAAAGAAAUUAAUAAAGAAUACAAAGUAAUAUAUUAAUAAUAAAACAUUUAUAAGGUAGAAUUGGCAAAUAUUUCUAAUAACUUGUUUUUUGAAUCUUAUUUAAAACAUAAAUUUUAGAGAUGGCUUAUCAAGAAAAUUGGCCAUAAACAUUCAAAUUAGGUUAUAAAAAAGGAAGUAAAGCUAUAUUUGAAAAAAAAAAACACUGUAUCUGAUACCAAUAUACAAUUCUAUGUAAAAUUUAAAGCAUUUUGAAAUAAAAUACAUAAUUGAAUCAAGAUAAACAAGAUAAGCAUAUCAUAGCAUUUCACACAUAUAGUAAGAAGAGUAUACAUAAUUUAAAGCUAUGAUAUAAAAUUCAACAAAAAGUCAUUACAUCAGAGUGUUUGGGUUGAAUCUUUUGUAAUUUUCAAAGUAAAUCCGCUUUCUUACAUGAUAUUUUAUGUAAAGCGAAUUCUCCAUUUAACCAAACACAUUGACCAGGAUGAAAACGGUAUCAUAUGCUCAAACAUUCAGCAUGUCUUAUUAGAGAUGCCCUUGUGAAAAUCCCAGAUAGCUCUGGGUAAGGGGAUGUGAUAGCAUAAUAAAAGACUAAUGUAUUCUUCUUCUUCUUCUUUUUUUAAAGUAGGUUUUGUUCCAAAAUGGAUAGAUAGGUCACUAUUAAAAAUAUUGCUAUCAUGAAAUCAGUCAGUCAGAAAUGUGAAAUGGCCUCAGUAAAAUUAAGCCAAAAAGGUAAAUAAUGUUUUGCUGAGUGUGGUGGUACACGCCUGUAAUCCCAGGUGCUCAGGAGGCUGAGACAGAAGGAUUGUGAGUUCAAAGCCAGCCCCAGCAAUGGAGGUGCUAAGUAACCCAGUGAGACCCUGACUCUAAAUAAAAUACAAAAAUAGGGUUACGGAUGGGGCUCAAUGGUCGAGUGCCCCUGAAUUCAAUCCCUGGUAAUCAUAAUCAUAAUUAUCAUCAUAUUUUUUGGUAAGAUAAAUUCUAGAAUUCCAGUUUUCACUUGAAAAUAUAGAGCUAGGAAAAGAAUCAUUUCAUCUUUAAUAUAAACAAAACAAAACAAACAAACCCUGCAAAUCUACGAUGUGUGCCAAGCCCAAGAGAGAACUGAGGUCACAGAACGAACAAUUCAUCUAAACUUUGGAAAGACAAGUGCCUCAACUUCUACCUUAGGAAACCAGGAAAGAGCAAGUUAAACCCAGAGAAGACAAAAAUAAAAAUAAAUGAAUAUUAGGGAAGGUAUCAAUGAAACCAAAAUCAGAGAAAAAUAGAAAAAUUUAUUAAAACCCAAAAUUGUUUCUUUGGAUAGAUAAAAUUGAUAAACCAGUUGCCAGACUUCUAAAGGAAAAAAAAUAUAUAAAGAGAAUACAUAAAAAUAUAAGGAAUGAAAGAUGGGACCUGUCCACUGAUCCAACAGAUAUUAAAAGGAUAACAGAGGAAUACUAUGAGCAACUCUGAAAUUCAUAAAUUCGAAAAACUUAGGUGAUGGACCAAUAAACUAAAAGAUAAAUUCUAACAUGCUCAAAAAAGGUUGGGUAACUUGAAUGAUCUGAUACCUACAAAAUAAAUUGUCAUGUAUAUGUCAUGUACACGCACACACACACCUAUACCCCUUCUAGAAAUAUGGACUGUAGGCCCAGGCAAUUGCAUUGUGAAUUCUACCAACUUUUUUUUUUUUAAACAGUACUAGUUACAUUUUCCAGAAAUCACACAAGUUCACUAAAAUCAGAUAAACAGUACAAGAAAAGAAAACCUCAUAUCAAAAUACCUACAAACAUGGACACAAAUAUCCUCAACAUGUUAGAAAAUCAACUAUCAAAGGGAUUUUAUAUCAUGACCUUGUGAAGUUCAACCAAGGAGAAUGCAGGCUGACUCAGCGUUGUAAAAUAAAUCAAUGCCCCAUGUUGUGUGAACCUCUAUAAAGGAUUGUUACAACAGCUGGAGAAAAAGAACUGGAUAAAGUCAACAUCCAGUGAUUUAAAAAAAAAAAAAAGCUUCUAUGCUAACGAAACAUAGAAAGAAACUUCCUUAACCUAAAAACAGUAAAAAUCUACACGUCACAUCACAGUAAAUGGUGAGAGACUGAACGCUCGCCCUCUAGGUCAGCGACAAUGGAGGAUGGACCCUCCCCACUGCUGAUGAACAUGCUCCUGGAGGGAUCUGUCCUGCAGGACGUUCUACAGCUGGCUGUCACCCUAAGCCACACGCCGACUUGGCUUCUGUGCCUUCCCUGAUCUGCUGUCCCUACUCAUGAACUGUCCCACCUGGAAGAUCACCCUUGGUCCAUGCUCUGACACAGGCCUCCUGUCUCGGGAUCUGCUUCUGUUUACAGGACCUGGGACACCUCUCCUGCAGGCCUUGAUCUGUGUUCUGUGCUUCUUUCAGUCUGUGGACUUUACAUUGAGGCUUUAACGACUGCUCCUCAUGGUGCUCUGCAUGUGGCCCAUCUUCCCUCUCUUUCCCUACCAGGAGGGUGUGAACCAUCCAUAAAGGAUUGUGCAACAGUUGUCUGUCAUUGUCUUGUGUCUGUCUGUCUGUCUCUUCCUUCCGGGAUCCUCCCCUGUGUGUUACUUACUGACCUUUGGUUUGACAUGACGGCACUUGGAGAAUCACUCAGACAAAUCUCCUUUGUGGGCCUGUGCAAAGUGCUCUUUGUUUUAUGUGAUCUAGGAAUAGAAUUACUGUGUAAUUGAUGUGAUUAUGUGACUAUAGACACUUCCAGAAUGGUUACACUAGACUACUUCCUGGUGUCAUGCAUGGCAUGAAGGUUCCUCCUGCCCCCUUCCUCAUACACCCCUGUUAUUCUUUAUGUAAUUUUCUAAUUUUCAUCAGGUUUACAGCUAAUCUGCAGUGCUAUAGUCAGGCAAAUUGUCAUUCACAUUGCAUAAGAAAGUAGGAACAUAUAUUAAAUAUGACAUUUUACAUCCUAUCUAUGCACUUUGCCCCCACACAAAGCAGAAUCAAAAAACUUUGAGAAUGGAACCAACUGUAUAUGGAGAGAAAAUAAAGAAUAUCAGGAAAGAGCGACUGGUAAAGAAAAUGGUGCCCCUAAAUUCACAGUCUUUACAUAGACCAAGGAAUUGUCGAGACUUUGUGGCUGUAUAUUCUGUUGCAGUUAUUAAAAAGGAUGUCUCAAACAGCAUAAUUGAAAAACAUUCUGAAAUGAAAACUCCAGGUGAUCUCAACAAAACCUUUAUAGUUCUUAGUAUAAGUGUGUGUGUGUGUGUGUUUUUUUAAAUCAGUUUGUUAUGGAUAUUGAUCAAUUUAAACAUCAGUAUGUUAAGAUAAAUGUAAAAGUUUUAUUAUAUAAAGAACAGUGGAAAAGUUGAAACCUGCUACUUAAUUUUGGUAUUAGUAGAAAGUUAUAUGUUAAGAUAUUUUGUUUUUUGAAAUUUUUUUUUUCAAAAUACCUUUAUUUUAUUUAUUUAUUUGUUAAUGUGGUGCUGAGGUUUGAACCAGGGCCUCACAUGUGCUAGGAAAGCAUUCUACCACUGAGCUACAGCCCCAGUCCAAGAUAUAAGUUUUAAUAUAUUAAGGACAGUGGAAAAAUAGAAAUCUGAUAUUUAAUUACUAAAAUCCUGAGAAAAAUAAAAAGAAAAUUCAUGAAAACAUUGUAUAUGCCAUGGGAAAAGGAAAAGGAAAGGAAAGGAAAUAUUAGCCAUAAAUAGUAAAUGCAAAAGUUGAAAAAAAAAUGAAAAGUCCAAAAUUUCAGCUAUAAAAAUACUUGUGAUCUCUCACUGAAAUACAAAGAUGCUCAGAGUUUUUUAAAAUGACAAAUAAGGACAAAAGUAGAUAACCCACAUAUGCUAUAUAAAUACCUCCACAUCAAACAAAACUGUACCCUGGUGCUAACUGCCUGCACAGACCAAAUGAAAAUGCCCAUCAGAUGUGAAGGACAGCAGGACGGGGAGAAGUGUGCAGAAAGAAACAGGAUCAAUAACUGAACAACAGUGCAGAUCACCUCUCCUAGCUGUGAGCCAAGCAACCUUAAAACAACAGAAACAAAUAUGCUUGUCUUUAAAAGGAGGAUUGCACCAGCAGCAACUAAGUUUUAUCCUAAGAGCAGAGAAAACUUCAGCUUCAGAUAGUUAUUAAUGCAAUUCAUUAAACUAACAGAUUAAAGCUGAAGGCUCAUGUUACCAUUUCAAAGAAGCAGAUAAACUGUAUUGCUGUCAAGAGCCAAGAAGUGGCUGAGCAACAGCUGAGCUGCAGGAUGUUGGGCAGCUGCGGGUCCUCCAGCAUCCAUUUCCCAUGUAACACCAUCAGUGUGUGUCACAAGUGUCCCCGAAGGCUGGGGUCCUCUCAUUUCUGAGAGCUCUAAACAAGGCCCCUGCCAUGUCAUGGACCCAGGGCUGGAAGGAGGGGAGAAAGGACUUGGAGAGAAAGAUGACUGAGUGCUAAGUCGUGGUGAGAGGGGCCCCUUCAGGCCCCCUGAAAGCUGGUCUCAGCAGAGGCAUCUGAGAAAGAUGUGGCCAAAUGCCAUGUUGGGUGGGAUGGGCUGAAUCCUCAGGUGCCACUCCCUGUAGGCAGCAGUCCACUGGCUGGCACCAGGACUCCUCUGAAGAGGGAAGCUUCCCCCCGGCACAUCUGUAAUGGCCCAUGGUGAGGUCUGAAGGGUCACACAGAUUUUGGCCUCGAGAUGGAUUCCUCUGUUACCUAUUGUGAAGUUUAAAAAAAUUUCCAAAGAUAUCUAAUAAGAGCCACAGAUAACAAAAUUGUUUUGUAUGCUGGGAACAAGAAAACUUCCUUACCUUGAAAAUAAUUGUCAAAAUAUUAUUGCACAAUAUUACUUUUAAAGUGUCGAAUUUUUAUAAGUAGAAAUUGAAAAGGGAUGAUGAGUACUCUUAUUACCUCUGGAAAUCUGAAUCCCAUUAGGAAAUGUCCAAUAAAUGGUAUAUUGGAAAAGUGGCUAAAAAUAAGGUCAACUAGCAAAUAUACUAAUAAGUAGCAACCAAUUAAUAAAUGUCAGGAAGGAAAAUAAAAAGCAAUAUUUGCACAAGUUACCAAAGCCUGGGAAUAAACUUUAAAAACUAGCAAGCAAGUUGUCCAAUGCUUCAGAAAGUCUUUCAUUAAGAAACCUACACAGCUUCACCAAGGAAGUCCUGCAUGGAAAGAACUGGAAUUGUGAAGAUGUCAAACAGAAUAGAGUUACUCUGAAACUAAAGUUGAUCAAGAAGAAUCUCAGUCCCUGUCUUGAAAACAAAAUUGGGCAGGUUGAAUCUAACAUUGUUCUGCAUAUGUACGUGAUGAAAUAUAAAAAGGAUUUAAGGAUGAAGAAAAGCAUCUUUUAGUAGCAGUUUAUACUACAAAAUCACAGUCAGUGAUAAAAUUGCAUUAUUGAUGUAUGCAUGAGCAAGCUCCAUGGAGAAGAGAGUUUAGAAUCAAAAAUGGCAUAGAUGAGCAUGCAUGCUAUGAUUAAUCACUAAGGAAUUAGCAUUGUGUGGACCAUUAACCAUCAGUUUAAAGAGAAAAAGCUGAACCUGAUAUUGCUCAUAAUAAGUUCUAGGUAACUAAAAGGUAAAUUUAAUUAUAUACACAUGUUACCAUGAGACACUUCAUAAUCUUAUGCAAAAAAAUAGUAGACAAUAAAUACAAAAGACUAUUGAGGUUCGGAAAGAGAAAUAUUGACUAUAUCAUCAUUGUAGAGAUACUAUUUAGCAAAGAUAAAAUCAUUGCAAAACCUGGGAUAAAAUAUUUGCCAUUGAUUGUCUCACAGUGAGGAGGCUAACAGUGUCUCCUAAGUUGCUAAGGCUGGCUUUGAACUUGUAGUCCUCCCAAGCUGCUGGGGUUGUAGGCACGCACCGCCAUGUCUGGCCAAUGAACUCAUCUGAACAUGUUUACAUGUUCAAAGACUCUAUUUUCAAAUAAAUUCACAUUCACAUUUAUGGACCAUGAGGUCUUCCUUCUUGGGAGAUACAAAUCAAUCCAUUGCAAUCCCCAAUAAACCUCCUUUACACAAAUAAGUCUUAUUAAUUAUUGUCUUCCUCUGUGAUGCAGAGACAUAUUAAAGAGAAGACUGUUCCCUCUCCUAACAAUUUGCAGUGUAUUCCUUUAGAGAAAGUGAUAUGUUUGAAUAUAGUAGAAGUUCAAAUAUAUAACAAUGUCCACAUUAUUUCUGAGUCAACUCAAAAAUUCCUUCUCAUUUCGACUGUGAAGAGUGGUUAUUUGGAGAAAAAUCAUAAUGAUACUUAUAUAAUUAUUGUCACUAACUGAAAAAUCACAAUUAAAAAAAGUUGUAUUUGCUCAUUUAACAGUGAGCUUUCAGUCAUUUCAAAUGCUUAGGAAACUAUUUUGUGGGUGCAGUUUUUACUUCUGGCACAUGCCUGCUUUGGGAGGGUUCCAGGAAUAGAAACACAAAUGACCUAAAGAAUUAUGAACUACCAGCUGUAAUUUUGAGUCAAAUCAAGUAACGUGAAUGUAUUAUUAUUUUUUGUGACUCUCUUGCCAGGUUCCUUAAUUCUGCUUAUAUGUCCUUGCAAAAAAUACAACCACAGGUCGUGAUGACUUGUGAUGGUUUUCUGAGGUGUGUGAACUUCCCAACAUGCUCACAUGUUCUGAUACAUGUCAGUUCUCAGGGAUUUCCUUAAAACCAACGUGAGGAAUGUUAGAGGAAGAUUGCCAUUAAAAAUGAAAGGGGCUGGAAAAGGCAAACCUACACAAUUAUGUCCUGGAACAUUCCAUAGGACAGGUGAACAGUUAAGACGUCAUGUCGGUUGGCCAUGUUUAUCACUCUCUACCCCACCUUGUAGAUCUCAGCUUUGAGACAGGCCUAAGGGUUGUGCCACCAAAGUUGCAGAAAGUGGGUUUAAAAUCCCAUUUACAAAUCUCACAGAAGCUGUGCAGAAAUGGCAUAAAAUGUAAAGAAAGGUGAGCAUUUAUCUUGCAAAAUUAACAAUUUCUUUUGUGAGGAGAGGUUGGUUGAACUACUUUUUUUCUGUUCAUGGAACAAAUUUUUUGCUGAGACUGUCAAAACUGUUACAGUAAAUUGUACUCCCUCUGUGCUCAACACCUGAUUUCAUAUAUUGCCCUGCAAGAGAUGCCAUCUCCCAGGAUGCCCUGGAAGAGUUGCUGGGCUCAGCUAAAAGAAAACCUUGGUGCCCUGACACAGAACAUCUGGUGGAGUGUUCUCUUGUCCUGUGGCUUCGUUAAAUGAAUGCACAAUGUCAGCUGUUCCAGUAAAAUUAGUUUCCUAACCAAGAGGGCCUGGGAUAAUUUGAUAACCAAUUCAGCAUCUUCUUAGUAUCACAUGAAGAAGUUUAAAAUCUUCUUAACUAAUUUUUCAUGGUUGGUAAUGGCAAUUCAUAUUAUUUUCACCCAAUAUCAAUCAUAGUGAUUAUUUAAAUAAUUUGAUCUUAUGCAUCUUUUUUAUGACAACUUGAAAGUAAACUAUGUUAUUUUUACUCAUUAAAAAAAGACUAUUUGGGAGAAAAAAAAUAAUAGUGUUUAUGUCUACAACUUUAAUUGUGAGUUUGUAUUCAUCAGGUUGGUCUUUUAUGUAGCUAAGUACAUAAUCUAAUCAUUAUCCCCUUUCUUCGCAAGUAAUUUUUAUUUUCAUAUUGAUUUUAUUGUGAUUGAUUCUGCCAUGAAUCAAUAGACACUUAAAACAUGGUUUCAAAACAAAGACAUUAGCCCCCUUUCUUUUAACAGUUUGCUCUGCUCUGGUCUAAUUUGAAACCAAGUUUAGAAUUUCUACAUUAAAUUUAUGAAUCUACUUGUGGUAUUCAGUCAAACAAAUAUGAGGCCAGAAACAAAUUCUUUCUUAGCUAUUCUUUCUUCUUAUAUCCCAUGUAAUUUAAAUGAUUUUGGACAGGUUUUUGACUACUUUGCUCCACUGGUGUUUCCAGACACUAUGCAACAGAACCUUCCUUGCUGGUUCCACUGCUGGGUGCUGAGACUUCACUCUCAAUUAUGCCUCCAACCUAAGCCAGGCUCUCAGCUGUUGUUCAUGAAUCUGUCAUUCUCUCUUGGUUCUAAUCAUUCUUUUUUCUUCAUAACCCUUCUCUUAAUUAUACAAACCUGUGACUCAGGGCGAACGUUGCUCUUAUGGGGCUGGUACUCUACUAGAAGAGGCAGGCAUCCAGCAAUUUCACCAUCAAUUGUUUCAGAAGUUGUAAUAAGUCCUGUUAAACAUCGAGGCCAGUUCUUGCUGAAACUGGCAUUUGAGUGAGCACUGAAAUGUUGGAGAGAGUGAACUGAUCAGGCUUAAAGGUUGUGACACCAAAGUUGCAGAAAGUAGGUUUAAAAUCCCAUUUACAAAUCCCACCCAGAAGCUUUCAGGAAGGAAGAGCCGCGGAAGGCAGAAACUCAAAGGCCAGAUACCUGGAUCUGGUGAAAGAGCCUGGAGUCUUUUUAUAGACUGGUGAGGAAACCAGGAACCAGAUCUCCUAGACUGCUACUCAGGAUGAGUGACGCCCAGGAAGGUAUCUUAUGCUAAGAGAAGCAGGAAGCUCUUAAAGGACAUUUCCUCACCUUGAUUUGACUUUCAAAUCUUCUCAUUGCUUGUGGAGAAACGGGAGCAGGUGGUGAACCAAGAGCCUGGAUGUGGGUGAGAGUCAGGGUGGUCGUGGAUUGGCUGGUGGUCCCGAUGGAGAAGCAAGUGGAAGGACUGGAGAAGACUGAGCAAGCCGAGUUGACAGGCACUUGGAGAGAGUGAGGGGGAGCAAGGCGGAUGGGGCCCAGGAGUGCGUGGCAGGCCUGUGUGGGGACAGCCUGGGGUCUCUGGGGCGCCAUUCCUGGAGAAGAGCCCAGCAGCCUGUUGCUUCUGUCUGUAGUGUCGAUUGGAAGGAAUCGUGAAGGCUAGUGAGAUGGUCGGCCCCAUAGAGGCCUGGUCCCCACAGAGGCUGGUUCAAGUGACCACACAGAGGCCAGUCUUCAGAAUCAGACUUGGGGCCACACCGCUGUGGCUGCAUGGACCACGACAAGUGGACCUGUGCUCCUGAGCACCCAUGUACUUCGCAACAGGCAGACCCCGCAUCGUCCCCGACCCUGUAGAAGGCCCCCACUCAGUCCCACCCACAGCUGAGACCCUCUCCCGGGUGAUGGAGUGAGGGAAUCUGCCACAUACCUGUCCCUCCGUAGCAUGUUACAGUGAGAAGCCCAUAAAAGCACUGUUCACCGAUUUAUUUCACGGUAUACAUUAAAGAUAAAAGAAUAUGUAUCUUUGUGAUGGGCAAACAAUAUCUGUCUUCCAUCGUUAAAUUUCAUUAGAAAUCAAAAAACUGAAGAAAAAAAUAAAACCUUUCCCCCUUGAUUUGUGAUUUUCAGUGGCUUGUAGACAAUCUGAAUUGCUUUAAUCAUGCCAUCUGAGUUGCUCUUGUCAAAACUUAUUCUUGAUUUGUUUUGUUUAUACAUCCAAGACUACUUUUUCAAAAAGGGAAGAGAUCUUACAGUGAAGGCAGAAUGAACCGAUUGCCUUUCGUAUCCAGGAGCAUGAUUUGGGGAAGGUUUGGACUUGGGCGAGGAGCAGGAGCUGGACCAUGGGUUCCUGCCCCGACGUGGCCAGGCUGGCAGGCCCUGAAGUCCAGGGCCAUCACAGGGGGCUCUCUGUGGAGCGAGUGGCACGUGAGCCGCGAGAUCUGCAGUUGCCAGCUCUGCGUCCCUCCUUCUCCUGCUCUGCUCCUGCUGGCAAGGACUUCAGGGCCCUCUGAGGCCCACAUUGUGCAAGGAUGAGGGGUGGCAGUGCCAGGCGUCAUCUUCCUGCUGGAGUGCAAGUCUCUCCCGGGUCACCUGGCCCCCACCGGGCUCUUCCACACCAGCCCUGUGAGCUUCCUGAUUUUUCCUUGCUUCCCAGUAGGGGAGCCUUUUCCUCCCGUGUGACCGAUGUGGCUUUGCCUCGACCAGGACCAUGACUCUCAGCUUCUAACUGCGGGUGUGGGUGGAUUCUCACUUGUACUUGCCCCUGAUUCUGAGGGCUGUCUGGGCCUCCUGCAACUCCUGACUGGCUCUGACCCACCCCUCCUGGAGGGCUGCUUCCCACCACCCUGCCCACCACCUUCUCUGCCUCCACUGCCUUCUUUGGGGUCCCCACCUCCUAGCCUCUGUCACCUUACACUCUGACUUGGCUUCUCACCCUGGGUCUGCACUGGGCAAAUGCCUUGUCAGGAUGCACUCAGAGAAGAUCUUUCUGGAAGUAGAAGUUGAAAAGUACAGGAUGAAGGUUGAAUUGGUACUACUUCUUAUCAAUAUUUUUAUUUCUUCUAUGACAUAUUUAUCUAUAUCUUUUAUUUACAUUGUUUAUGGAAAAUAAACCUUUAUUUAUUUAUGGAAAAUAAAUACUGAUCAUCAUCUAUUUUUCCUUUGCACAUUAUUAAGUAUUUGUGUUUCAGAAUCACUUUGGAGAGGUUAUGGGGACUGAAUUACUGUAAUUUGUACAUGAUUGGCUGCCUGUCAGAAAGCAAAACAUAGAGGUUAUUUUGUAAUAACAUUCCUAAAUUAUCCAGCACACUUAACAGAUAGUAGAACAAUUUAUUUCUGAGGACUUUUGAAAGCAUUACUCUCUUUUAAAAUUUAUUGUAAGAUUGAACAUAAGAAAUCUUGAAUUAAAAAACUGUUCACAUACAAGACAUACCUAUUUUCAUUUCGUUUUAUGUACUGUGAUUAUUAGCUUGAGACAACCAGGACAUAAAGUUAAAUGGAAUUAUUUUAAUGAUAUCAUCAACAAAGAAAAUUGAAAUUGUUGAAUAAAAGAUGACUAAUUUUAUAUAUGAAGAUUUUUUUUAAGCAAGAGAAAAUAAUAAAUAAGGGAUGUUUUGUUCCUAAGCAAUAUAAUUACAUUUUUUUCCCUGAAGGAUGGUUUUACCUCUUGACAUUUUUUUUCACUUACCAGGUGUUUCCUUUUCUAUAUUGAAUAAUCUACAUUUACACAUUUUAACACAAGCAUGACUACUGUAAUGUGAAGAUUAAAUUAAUUACAAAUGAAUAGCUAUUUGGAAACACAACUUAAUAACUUGGGUGCAGAAAACAAAAGGAAAUAUACAAAUUGUGAGUGGCAAGCUGCAUUUGAUGAUUAUGAAGAAGAGAGAAGAAGCCUUCACUUUUAGAGGAACUAGUCAUUUAUUUAAUACGUGACUGAUAAACACUUUCAUGCUAAUAUUUUCUCAAGUUAAACAUGGAAAAUAAAUACUGAUCAUGAUAUAUUUAAAUAACAAUUUUUAUAAAAACUUGGUACCACUUCCUAUUAAAAUGUUGAUUCAUACUUAUAGUUCAGAUUUGAAAAUCUCCACUUUCCCACUUGGGAAUGAAUCGUUUUGCACCCCAGCCAAAGCCAGAACUCCAGAGCAACACCUAUUAAUUAAAUUCCCAAGCCAGCUGAGUCCACUGCCCACAUCACUGGCAACCAAUAUGGCCCAUACUGAGAUGCUAAACCUCUUCUCUCGGCAUAAAGCACCAAGAGCAAAGCAAGGCCCCCCCUGGGGAAAACACUGCCCUUCUCCUGUGAGCUUUGUUUAAUGUUUUGAACUGACCACUAAAUUUACUUAUUUUUAGUCGACUUGUUUUGAGCAGCUUUAGAUUUAUAGAAUGAUUGAAAGAAGAGUAAGGAAAGCCCCUACUUUUCCAUGUACAAUCUUCUCCAUUAUUAACAUCUUAUAUUAUUAAUCUGGUGCGUAUAUUACAUUUAAGGAACUGGUAUUGAUGUGUCAUUACCUAAGGUCCAUGCUUUGUUCAGAUCCCUGAUUCCUUGGUUUGACCUGGUGUGUGUUCUUUUCCCGGAUCCCGCCUUCGGUAUUCCAUUAUAUUUAGUGUUCAUGUCUCCUUAGGCUUAUCUUGGUUGGGACAGUUUCUCAGUUUUUGAUGAUGCUGAUGGUUUGGAGGAGCACUUACUGAUCAAGUGUUCUUCUGUAUGUUGCUAUCCUGCUGGAAUUGGUCUGGCUCUUUUCCUUGUGGGGAUGAUGAGUUUUCAGAAAGUACAUCCAGGGUAAAGUGGUCGACAUGGUUUGUCCCAGUGGAUGGUCCCCUUUUCCACCUGACUGAGGUAAGGUCUGUCAUAUUUCCACAGUGUGAGUCACUUUCCUUUUCUCCCCCCAUGCUGUGAUCUUUGAAAAGAAGUCACCAUGCCCAAUCCAUAUUUAGGGGACACUUAGAAUAGGGAUUUAUGCUUUUUCUCCAUGAAUGUGGCGUAUCCACAUAAAUUAUUUGAAUUUUUCUACAAGAGAAAUUUGUCCUUUCUCCCCAUUUAUUUACUCAUGCAAUAAGUUACUUAUAUCAAUAUGGACUCAUGAAUGUUUAUAUUUUGUGUUAUAAUCCAGUACUGCUUUAUUCACUCUCUUUCUCAAGUUCUCCCAGCUUUGACCACUGAGAGCUCUUCCUGUUGGCUCCUGGAUGCUUUUGACAUAAAAACCAAUAAAUGUGGAUUUUGGAUUUUUCUUUGUUUUUUAGCACUUUCUUGCUUUCUGGUGCUGUGAGAUGUCCCAUGCUUAUCUUGUAUAUUUUCUGCCCCAGCUAGAAUCAGCUACUGUUCAUAAAACUGAACCUUUUGUUGGAUAAUAGUUUAAAAACAAAAGUCUAGAUAUACUGUGCUCCUUACUAAAAAUUUGUCCUUCUUUUAUGGCCUUUCAGAUGAAGGGGUACAGAAUAGGCAUACAGUAAACUAUGUAUGCGUGCUAUCUGUAGAUAGAGUUUCUGUUCCAGUCCAGGAGCUAUUUCUCUCUGGAGCUUGGUUUCAUUUCUUGGAGAAUGGUGUUAGGAACCAAGUGCUAGGUGCUGGUUGUGCUCAUUGCAGCUGGGAUGCUAUUGCUUCUAGGUUGCCUCAGUGACAGAGCAAGAAAAUAUAUGUGCAUAUACUAACUAGUGGUUUUGUAUAAUUUUAUGUAUGUAACAAUCUGUAUUUAUAGUAAAGUCUCCAUGAGUACAUAUUGUUGUCUACAACUCUGACACUAUGUAGAUUACUGCAGCCUCUUUCCCUUGCACAUCUGUAAAUUCCCAGCCCAGCGUUAAGAAGCCUGGCUCCCAUCAUUUACUCUCUAUUUACUUAUUUGUCCAGUUCCAGUAUACAGGUUACACCAGCACCCCCACGGGAAAUCACUGAACAACUCAGAAGAGUACUUAUGUGCAGUUCUGUCUGCCUUUAGUCAUUUCCAAAGUUACUUAAGCCUGAACCUUCCCCCACUCCUCCUUCAAUGAAGUUAUUUCAUUCACUCGUAGUAGUUAAAUUCUCUUAUUAUUCUGCAUUUCUUUCUGGGAAUCCUCUACCCCACAAAUGAUCUGUUUUAAAAUUUGCAUAUGGUAAGUUACUGUCUUUGUGCUGUAAAGUUUUAUAGCUUUUGACAGAUGCAUAAGCUGUGAAUCUAUCAUUACAAUAUUACACACAAUAGUUUUAUGAUCCUAAAAAAGUCCCCUGUGUUUCACCUAUACUUUCUCCUUUGUUUCUGCAAACUCCUGGGAUCACUGAUAUUUUUCUCUUUUCAGUGUCUCAUGGUUGUAACUUUCCAGAAUGCUGUAUGAUGGGAACUGCAGGGUUUGUAAUGUUUCAAGACUCAGUAUUUUACUUAGAAAUAUUAGUUUGAUGUCCACUCAGGUCUUCUUGUAGUUUUGCAGUGCACUUGUUUUUAUUGCUGGAAGAUUUUCCAUUGUACCACAGCUUUUUCAUUUAUUCAUCUAUAGAAAAAUAUCUUGUUUGCUUCCAGUUUGGGGCUUGUAGGGAGUUUUGUAAAUAAAAGUUUUUAAAUUGGUAAGUAAGUAGGAGUAUAAUUGCUAGAUCAUAUGGUAAAAUUAUGUUUAGUUUUCUAAGAAACUGUAGAAAUGUAUUAUCUUAAAUGUGAAAAAUGUAAAAUUUCAUUCUAAUUUUCUCUUCCUGUGAUUUACUUGGACCUUUCUUUACGGCAUAAUAUUGUACUUUUCAUUAAGAGGUGUGGAAUAACAAUAGACUGACAAAUGGGCUUGGUGGCCUGAUGACAGGUACUAGUGAAAGCCUUACGUUUUACUGGUUUGUCUAAAGGCUUUAAACUAUUUCUUUUCAAGGGUACUGACCAGCUGUGACUUCAGAAAAAUAUCUUCUAACUUUCUCACUUAGAAAAAUGGUGAUGAUAAAAGCCACCUUGCCAAUUUGUUAUGAAGAUUAGGGAUAAAGAAGAUAGCAAAAAAUAAGUGGCAUUAUGAUAUAAAAUGAUAUUUAUUAAUAUUACUAAAGCUUACUGAGCACGUAUCAUACCACACACUGUAGAGGCUACGGCUUAUGAGAAGAUGAGCAAACUGUCAAACAGCUCGUGGGGUAGUGAAGGAGGAAGCAAGCAGAGAUGCAUCAUGAAAAUAUGGCAAUUUGAUAAGAGAAAAAGUCCAAGGAAGACUUAAGUCAGUGGAGCAUUGAGGACUGUGCAUGAGUUCCCCAGGUAGACAAGGUGACAUUGAGAAUAAAGGCAAAAGGAGCAUGAAAAGAACAUUACAACACAGGUUUGGUGUGCUUACAUUUAUCAUGGAGUACAGAGGAAAUAAUGAAAAAUAAACAAUGUGAAGAAAGAUUCUAAAAGGUCCACUUUCCAACCAAAUAAAUUUCCUAUCUUGUUUUUCCUAUAUAAAAAUGUACCUUCAUCCCUUGUUAUUAAUGUAAAUUGGUUCCAGAAACCCUCCCCCACUCCCACCCUGGGUACCCAAAUCCCCAGGAGCUCAAGUCCCUUCUAGAAAUGGUAUCAUAUUUGCAUAAAACCUAGCACGUUCUCUUGUAAACUUUAAAAAAUCUCUGUAUUACUUAUAACACUUAAUGUUAUGUGAAUGCCAUGUAAAUAGCUGUUACACUGUAUCGUUUGGUGGAUAAUGACAAGAAAAAAGUCUGUACACAUUCAGUAUAGAUACGAUUAUUUUCCUAAAAAUUUUAUAUUUGUGAUUAAUUGAGUCUAUAUGUGAAGAACCCACAGACCCAGAGGGCUCAUUGUAUUUGUAUUUGUGAAUUAAGAUAUAGAGUAUAGAAAAGAAUUAUAAAAUACUAGGGACUGAGGGCUGGGGCUGGGGCUCAGGUAGGGUUCAAUUCCCAGCACCAAAUACAAAUAAACAAAAAUAAAAAUAUUAUGUCCAUCUACAACUAAAAAAAAUUUUUUAAAUACUAGGGACUGAGAAUAUUUUUAGGAAUAUAAUGAACAGUAAGAAAAGAUAAGUCUAGACAAAAUCAAACUAAUUUGGAUGUAAAUGAAAUGGAAAGUGCGGUGGAAAUCACACAUAAUUAAAAGCAAUACAUAGAACUUCAUGAUAAAUGUAAACAUGAAGGGAUGGGGGAAGCAAAGAAAUAUCUAAUUUGUCCUCUGGACAAAAGGAAAACAGGUUUAGUAUAAUUUCUAAAAUUUUGAGAUAUGCAUCCAUUUGCAGUCAUAAGAAAAGGAUUCUAUUUGCCAUUUAUUCAGUUUUUUCCCAAUGGUAAUACUUCCAAAGCUAUAGUAAAACAGCAUUAAUUAGGACUUGAAAUGGAUGUAAUCAAGGCACAGAUUACUUCCAUAACCACUAGGACCCUGAGUAUUUUGUAUGAAUUCACACUUACCCUUUGCUACCAUUCUGCCCUCAAUCUCUGAUGACCCCCAGGUUCUUCUUCAUUUUUAUAACUGUGUCAGUCAAAUAUUAUGUAAGAAUAAAAUCAUAGAUUAUCAUACAUUAUGCCCUUUAUAUUUUCUAUUCUGCUGAGUAACAUUCCAUAGUAUGGAUGUACCAUAGCCUAACCACUCAAGGAAGAGAACAUGUAGACUUCUUCUACUAUUUUGCUUUGGCCUAAACUAAAAAGAAAGUUGCUAAGAACUUUCAUGUAUACAAGUUUUUGUGUGAAAUUGAGUCUUCAUCUUGGGAGAUUAAUACCCAGAAGUGUAAUGCCUGAAUUGAAUUGUAGUUGCCAAUGAUAUUUUUAAAGAAAUUGCCCAAUUAUCUUCCAAAGGAGCUGUACUAGAUAAUAUUCCUACCCCAAUAUAGGAGUGAGUCAGUCUCUCCGUAUCUUCACAGGUGUUUUGUGUCAAUAUUUUUAUUUUAGUCAUUUUGAUUGUGUGUGGUGAUAUCACAAGGUGGUUUCAAUUCUCAUUUUUCUAAUGAAUAAUGAUGUUGAAGAUAUUUUCUUUUGAUUGUGUUCUGCAUAUCUUUUUUGUUGAAAUAUGUAUUGAGAUAUGAGAUAUCUUUUAUUAUAAAUACUAGAACUCUAUCAAUUAUGUGGCAAAAUACUUUUCCCAAUGUGAGGUUGAGUUUUUUCAUUCUCUUAACAGGAUCUUUUAUUAAGCAAAAAAUUUUAAAUGCAGGAAAUUCAAUUGAUCAAUUUUUCUUUUUAUGGAUCAUACUUUUGGUGUUAGGUCCAAGAAAAUUAAGAACACUAAACACUGAAUAUUUUCUUCUAUUUUUUCUAAAAAGCCUUAUGGUUUAGCAUUUUAUAUUUGAGUCCACAGCCCAUUUUCAGUUAAUGCAUGAAAUGUGAGAUUUGCAUCAUAAUAUAUUUAUUUAUUUUAUUUGCCUAUGGAUCUUUCAAUCGCUGUUACACCAUUUGUUGAAGUGAAUAUAUUUUUUCAAAUGAGUUGCUCUUACAUAUUUCUUUAAAACCAGAGGGGCAUAUUUGUGUGGUUCCAUUUCUGGGCUCUCUUUUCUGUUUCAUUGAUCUAUGUAUCUAAUCCUCCAUCAAAACCACACAGUCCUAUUGACUGUAGUUUAUAAGUCUUGAAGUUAUGUGGACUGACUUUUGUUAAUUUUUUUCUUAUUUCACAAAAAUUGCCUUUCAAUAUAUUUUUUAAAAUAAUAUUGUCUUUAUUAACAAAAAGUGGAUUUUUUUUUAAUAGAAACUGUCUUCAUCACAUAUAUCAAUUCAGGGAGAAUUGACUUCAAUAUAUGCUGAUUUCCAUUCUAUGAAAAUGGUAUAUCCCAGUUUAUUUAGAGCUUUGAUUUAUUUCAUAAAUAUAAUGUAGUUUUAAGCAUACAUAUAUUCUACUGCAUUGGGCAGAUUUAUCCUUAAUUAUUUCAUCUUUUUGAAUGAAUGUAAAUGUAUUAUUAACUUUGGUGUCCACAUGUGCAUUGCCAGUUUAUAAAAACACAAGUGGUUUUUAUAGGUAUUUUUCAUGCUAAAAUUUUGCUGAACUUUAUAAAGUUCCCUGUAUGUUUCUUAGGGAUUUUUAUGUAGACACUUAUGAAAACUGCAAAUAAGCUCAGUUUUAUUUCCUUUUUCUGCUCUUUAUUUUCCUUUUCAUACUUUAUUGCAUUGGUAAGAAUUUCUAGAAAUUUGUUGAACAAGAAUGGUGAGAAUGGAUAACCUUGCCUUGGUCCUAUCCUUAGGAGAGAAUAUCCCAUUAUGCACCACUGACUGUAAUGGUAGUUUUUGUAUAGAUGACUCCUAUUAGAUUGAAGAAGUUAGUCUCUAUUCCUAGCUUUUGAGUGUUUUUAUUAUAAAUGGGCAUUGACUUUAUUCUAAAUGAUAUUCCACAUUUAUAGAUAGGGUCACUAUUUUCAUUUUUUGUUGGCUAAUAUGGUAGAUUGUAUAGAUUAAUUUUCAAAGAUUCACUUAUUUUCAAGGGAAAACUGAAGAUGUAUAUUCACGUAAUACAAUCUUUAAGAUUUGUCCUUUAUAAGUAUUUUUAAUUUGAUAAACCAUAUUAUUAUGAGGUACAAAUGGUCAAGUAUUUUACAUUCAUAAUUAUCUUAAACCCACAGAAAGUAAUUCACAAAUAAUUGAAAUCUGGUUAUGGUUGGUAUAAAUCUUAUUUCCCCUAAAAAUAUUUGUAGGUUUCCCCCAAACUGUAGUGUAUUUCUAAAUAAAAUUGUAAUAUUACAGUAAUAUAUUUUAAAGAAUUUGAAUGUUUCCCCAACUAAAGUAUUUUUCAUAUUAUUAUCCAGACAAUAUAAAUUUCUCAAAAUAAAAACAAUAAUGGAGUAUUUCCUUUUUUCUGUUUUUUUUUUUUUGGGGGGGGGGCAUACCAGAGAUUGAACCAAGGGGCUCUCAACCACUGAGCCACAUCCCUAUCCCUAUUUUGUAUUUUAUUUAGAGACAGGAUCUUCCUGAGUUGCUUAGCACCUCAUGUUUGCUGGAGCUCACUUUGAACUUGGUGGUCCUCCUGCCUCAGCCUACAGAGCCGCUGGGAUUAGAGGCCUGCACCACCUCACCCACUGGCAUAUUUCCUUUAGUGGAUUUAAUUAAUCUUUCUCCCUUUUAAAUGAUGAUUGGAUCAUCACAUAUGUUAUAAAACCCUAAUUUGAAAUCAUAACUUUUUUGAUAUGAGAAUAAUAAAUACUAACAUUAAAGCUUUGUUAUUUUCUUUGACCUACUCAGAUUUGAAGAUAAUUGACAAUAAAAAGUUCUAACUACUUAUUUUUUUACAUCUACUUUUAAAAGAGUAGUUGAUUUAGUUUUUCAGGAAACCAGACCACCUCCUGGCAACAGCUUUGUCUAAAUAGGCCUAGAACAUGUUGUGGUACUACAUUUCUAGGGGUAUAAACUUACCUUCUAACUUCUCUUCUCUUGCCUAUGUACAAGAAUGAGAUGAGCUAAUCUGUACAUAUCUGCUUAUUCCUUACGUGGUUUUCUGGUGUCAAGUGAAUCAGUAGAUGUCAAGGGGUUCUUGGGGGCUUGGUAGAGCAUGAGGAACUUGGAACUAAACCUAGGUGUUCUCCUUCCUGAGCAAGGUGAACCGUGGCUGGUCAGUGCACAGGUCAGGAGGAAGGACGCCCAAAGGAGACAAAGGGACAGUGUGCACAGCCACCUGCCCCACCCUCCAAAGGAAAAGAGGAGCAAUGAUAAGAAUAUGGUCUUGUGUUCAACUUCACAAUCUAAGAGCUUGCUUUUUAAAUGUCAAUGUAUGAAACUGUGGUGUCCUCUUGUUAUUGAUUAUAUUGUAAGCUUCCAAAGAAAAAUGGGUUGGAGUGUUCAAACCAAGUACUUCAGAACGUCACCUGUCACCUUAUUUGGAAAAAGUGUCAUUGCAGAUGUCAUCAGUUUAAGAUGAGGCUGUUCUGAAGUAGGGUGGGCCUUUAAUCCCAUGACCAGAGUCCUUCUAGAAAGACAGCCUUGUGACGACAGGGAGAAACAGUAUGUGCUGAUGAAAGAGAAACUGAAGUGAACUCUGAGGACUCCUAGCAAACAAAGAAGAGCUAGGAGUUAGCACAGAAAGAUCCCCCAGGGGUCAGAGAGACCCUCAUCCUGCGACAGUUUGGCAUUGGAUUCCCAGCGUCCAGAAGUAUCUGACAAUAAAUUUGUGUUGCUUUAGGCCACUCAGUUUGUGGUAUUUUCUUAUGGCAGCCUGCGCAAACUAAUACAAGGGUGCAUUGUCAAUUAAAGGUGAGACAUUGGAGCCUUAAGGGAAGGCAUAAUCUGGCUCUGAUUCCUUAUUUGUAAAUUAAGGGCAACAGCAUGCUCCAGUUGCUGUUUCUUCUCAUAUAUUUUGGCAGAAUUGGUGAGGCAACGUAGGUGCCAGAAAAAAUAAAACACACUGUAAAAACUCACAUCUGUUGAAUGCAGUGUUUCAGCGGUACGGAUCUCAUAAUAAGUUACUCAGUGAAUAAAAAUGAGUACCAGUACCUUUACAUUUAAAAAUAAAGAAAUCAACAUUUUAUUAAUCUUCUUAUUUGAAAUUGUUCCAAUAUAAAAGAAGAAAAUUACCUAUCACCUGAGAAAGCAAAGAAAAUAAAGUUGUUGACUGCAUGCAUACAUAUUUGAUAUUAAAUUAUCUUGAAAUUCAUUUUUCCUCAGGCGAAUUUAUAGAUUAAUUUUGCAGGACAAUAGAAUUGAGAGAACCCUGGAAAGUUUGCAAUGUGUAUCUUCCAUGCAAAAUAUGCUUGAAAAUAUCACUGACCUUGUGACUGUAUUCAUGAAGAGCAACAGAAGAACAUAUGAAGGUGCAAUACAUAUGCUGCAUGUGGGUGGUGUGUGCAUGCGCCAUAUUGGUUCUCUUUUGUGACCAAGAUGAAUCAUAAGCACUUGGUGAAUACAUUUAAGACACAUUCAUUAUAUUUGCAUUUCUGUGGGUCAGAACUCUAGGCUAGUUGUUCUGCUUCCAGUCUCAUAGGAUUUAAAUCAAGGUGUCGGAGGUCUAUACUGACUUUUCAUGGGUUUGAGACAAAACUUUCUUGCAAGAUCCUUUUCCACGUUGUAGGGUACAUUCAGUUCCUUGAAGUUGAAAGGCCAAGGUUACCACUUCCUUGCUUUCUGUCUGUCUGAGGCUGGAGUUUGCUCUUUUUUUUUUUUUUCUGGAUACCGGGGAUUGAAUUUAGAGGCACUCAACCACUGAGCCAUAUCCCAGCUUUAUUUUGUAUUUUAUUUAGAGACAAAGUCUCACUGAAUUUGCUUAGUGCCUCACUUUUGCUGAGGUUGGCUUUGAACUCUUGAUCCUCCUGCUUCGGCCUCCCAAGCUGUGGGGAUUACAGGUGUGUACCCCUGAGCUCAGCUUGCCUAUGCUUUCCUAUGCAUGUGCCCCCCACCCCCGACAAAGAAUUUAAACCCUCCUAUGCUUUGAAUCUCCCUCAUGUCCCCUACUUCAACUAUCUUAGUUGGGUUAAGCAGCUUUCCUGCCACUGAACAAAAGACCUGACAAGAAGAAUUUUAGAGGAAGAAAAAUUUGGCACUUACAGUUUAGAGGUCUCAGUCCAUAGAUGGCCAACUGCAUUGCAGUGUGCCUGAGGUGAGGGAGACCAUCAUGGUAGAAGGGUGUGGAGGAGGAAAACAGCUCAGGACAUGGCAAUCAGGCAAGAGAGAGAGACAGAUAGACAGACACACUAAGAUGGGGUCACCAGGGACAAACUAUAUACCCAAAGCCACAUCCCUUUGAGAUGGAAUGAGGAAUGUCCUCCAACCACACCCUGGAUUAACACAGUGAUUAGGUUAAAGCUCUCCUAACCCAAUCAUUUCACCUCUGAACUUCCCUGCAUUAUCUUACACAUGAGCCUUUGAGGGGUACCUCAUACCUAUACCGUAACAAUUUUUCUCCUACCAGAAGUUCUUUGUUUUAAAAGGUUUAUAUUUUUAGAUUGGAUCUUCUUAGAUUGUCCAGAUUAAUCUCCCUGCCUUAAAGUCCAUAAUCUGAAUUAUACCUUCAAAGCCUCUUUAUCUUAUAGUGUGACAUAUUCACAGGUUCCUUGGAUUGAGACGUGGACACCAUUGGGUGGAUUUUCCAUUCAUACUAAAUGUGGAAUGAUUCUAGUUCCAUAUUUUUUCUCCUUUUUCAUGAAAAAGGAAAACAAAGCAAAAAAAAAGUAAUCAGUGACUUUUCUUUCAUGAAUUACUCUAUUUUUUUUUAAUUUAUAAAGCAGGAUAACAAUAAAGAUAAAACUAAUUACAAAUAGGAUGCUAUUCAUAAAAAAAUCAAAAUAUUAAGAUGACCUGCAAAGUAUUGUGAUCAAAUAGCCCUGGUAGGAAAUUUUGAAGUCCCAGUACUUUUAAUCUAUUUGAACUGAUUUCCAAAAGAUGCUGUUGCCCCAAGCCAGCAAAAAGGCUCUCAGCCACACUUCCUGAGGUUUUAUUGGCUAAGAAAUUACAUGUAAGAGUAAGUUUAAAAAGCCACCAUAAACUUUAGUGGUUUUUCAUGACUUUGGAAACUCAAGUUCUAUCAUUAUUUAGAAAUACCAUUCCCAUUGCAAACUGCAUGUAGUGAAGUCGAAACUAGCAAAUAACAAGGCACCUGAGGAAAGCAUGCUUCAGACAGAACGACAGAGUUUUAAAUGAAGAUGAUAUUUAAUUGUAAAGGCAAUGCAUGAUUCAGGUGAAUCAAGUAGUUAAUAUUUGACACAAAAUAAAUAAACUUCAGCCAUCACCCAUAAUAAGGUUAUGAGACUAAAAAUGUGGUCUUACCAUCUUUUGUGCACUAAGUUGAUUAUGUAGGUAUUUUAAGUGUACAUCAUUUGGAUGAGAAGUGAAAUAUUUAGAGGUUUAUUUUCUUAUCUCUCCAACAUAGAGUCUCCUAAGUCACUUGGUCCAACUCAAGUUUUAUCAGUAGACAAGGUAGACACGGUAGCCUGAAGCAGCAUGCCAUUUUCCCUAUGGUGACCGUGGUGACAGGUUUGGCCUUAACUUUCCUGUCUUCCCGUCUUUCCCGUCUCUUUGACUGAACGUUAGUUUCUUCCUGACCACAGAUCUUGUUCUUCCUUUCUUGGAGCAUUUAUUUUAGAACACUUGAAAUUGUGUAUAUUCUCUCUGUGCCUCUUUGAAAUGUCUUUCUAAAAGCUUAUUAUUGGUUUUCCAACUUAGGCAUGUCUUUCUCCAGGACCUGGGAGUCAUUUUGUGGGAGCGUAACCAUCAAGGAAGACAGAGCCUGUAAUAGUUUGGAUGUUAAGUGUCUCUGCAAAGACCCGUGUGUCAAAGGCUUGCUCCUCAGCUUGGUGCUGUUGGGAAUUGAGGGAAUCUUUAAGAGGUGAACCUGGAGGAGGUCUUCAAAUUGUUGGAAGCAUUUCUUCAAAGCAGCCUGUGGGACCCCGUCUCCUCUUCUUUCUUUCUCAUGCCAGCCGUGGGGCAGGCAGUUGGCUCCACAAGGACUUCCUACCAUGACAAGCUGCUCUGCCACAGGCCCCAAAACAAUGGAGCCCACCUACCAUGGGCUGAACCGUCAAAAGCUAUAGACAAGAGUAAACCUUUUGUCCUCUAAAGGUUGAUUAUCUUGGGCUGUUUAUUAUAGAGGCGGAAGCUAACUCACUCAGGGCCCAUCUUCUUUUCCCAAUGGACAGCAGAAGCCUAACUCUGACAGGAAGUAACUAGCAAACACCGGUGGCCCAACCGCAGGCCCAACCUUCUCCCUAAUGUCUUCAAGCUGCUUUCUUACCAGCUUACUCAGCAUUUAAAAACUUUCCACCUGUUCUUCCAGUGGAGUCCAGUUCAGUCUGUUUCCCUCAAGGCGGUAGUCCUGAAGUCCUCCUCUCCUGUUGAACUGGGUGUCACAAUUUUUCUUUAACAAUUGGAAAGAAGAUCCUUAGGUUGGAGUUCCACCGGAACAAGAAAUAUGAAGUUGAAGGGGGUAUACUACAUCCCGAAGAAUCCAUGGUGUUAGAGGUCAAGCUCAGGUGCUGGCGAGAAACAGAGGUUCAAGUCCUUAUGUGAACCAGUGAAAAUCUCUGUCUUCAGAAGUUUUUGAAAGAACAGAGUAAAAAGAUGAACCGUUUUGUGGUUAAACCAAUUAGUGCUUAAGCAGUGUAAUAAACAAAGAUUCUUGUCGGAAGGCAGCCUUUUUAAGGCUCAAGAAAAUUUAAAACUAUUUCUUUUGCUAAUGGACUUUUUUCCCUUAACUUUUCCAAUUCCUCAGAUAGCCCUGGGCCCUCGUGUUACUAAGAUACAGUUACAGAAGGAGGAGAAAAAAACCUGACUUUUGAAAAAGGUUAGCUCAACACUACAGGGAGUCUAAUUUCUGGUUUCAUUAUAGAAUUAAAUGAGAUUGAAAUUGUUAUCUCUCUCUUUUCCUCCACGUAGAAAGAGCGAGCUGAGCUAAGGCGGAAUGGCUGUUCUUUCCUGGGUAUUUGCUGCCUUUCCUCUGCCCGCAGGGCAAAGGUCUGGGCAUUAGUAUUCUGAUGGGAAUCUGCAUGACAUUGCUGGGAAUGGACAAAUGCUCCACAAGUCCCCACACAUCCCCUACCACUCUGAUUAAAGCUUGGCAUUUGUUUUCCUGCUCUUUGGAGCAGACAGCAUGCUGCCUGGAAUUAGAAAUAUGAAAGACAGAGGAACUUCACACUGUGCAGAGAAUGUUCUUUGCUCUCUUAUUUUCAUAAGGCAGAUGAGUUGCCUAAGGAUCUUUAUAAAAUCUUGGACCUCUCAAAUAUGAGUGGAGAUCUGUUCAGUAUAAUCUGUUCAUAGCUCCCUCCCCACGCUCCUGAAGCCUUUGUGUGGCUAUCCUUUAUUAGCUAGAUUUUAAUAGAGGAAAAUUUCAAUUGUCUAGAGUAUUGAUGAAGGGAUUUGGUUAGUUUCAUACAGUUGAAGUGUCACUCAUCUGUAAGGUCUGGGGCUGCUCUGUGUUUUGAGAUGAUUUGCUAUUGAUUAAAGACAAUAUAAAAAAAAGUCAUUUUUCCAAAGAUGGAAAAGGGAGGGUGACUAUGUGGCAUGAUGGAUGUGUUGCUAUGUUCCCCUCUAACAAUCUCUUUACCAACGUAUGUGUGCAUCUUGUGCACAUCACGUUGUUAAACAAGAACUCCAAAGACCACAGGAUCUCCAAACACUUACAGAUAGAAACCAGAAAAAAAAAAAAAAAGACCAGAUCCUGAAGCAGUUCCCACAACUACCAGCAGCAGGGCGAGGUUGCAGUCAGGAGGUAUCCCUCACAUCAAAGCUAAGAGCAUGCAUACACACACACACACACACACACACACAUGAACACUGUGUGUAUAUAUAUAUAUACACACAUACAUAUUUUUUAGAUUUUACUUUUUGCAGUGCUGGAAAUCCCCCUCCUGCAUGCUAUGCAAGGGCUUUACCACUGAGCUACACUGCAGCCCUUUUAAAAAUAAACUUUAACCAGGGGCAGUGGUGCACACCUGUGAUCCCAGCAGCUCUGGAGGCUGAGACAGGAGGAUCCUAAGUUCAAAGUCAGACUCAGAAUUUAGUGAGGUGCUAAGGAACUCAGUGAGACCCGUCUCUAAAUAAAAUACAAAUAGGGCUGGGGAUGUGGCUCAGUGGACAAGCGUCCUUGAGUUAAAUCCCUGGUACCAAAAAAAAAAAAAAAAAAAAAAAACUUUGCAGGAGAAAAGCACUCACUUGGGCUUCAGGUGAGAGAGGUGGGGUAACAUGGAGGGGAGCUUUGCCACAGGGGCAGUCCUUAAGGAGAAAUGGCUUUGGUUCUUUGGGGUUCACAGUCCCAAGGGAAAGCUCAGAUGCCUGGUGUUCGGCUGUGAGGAGACUGGAGCCCGGGUUCGACCCAGAUGUCCUGGCUGGCUUUGUGUGUGGCUGUUCACUGACCAACUCCAUUGGUCUCUUUCCCUCUCCAUCCACUGGCCUUUGUUACAUUUUCAGCAUUUCCCAGGAUUGCGUUUUUCCUUUGAUCACCUUUAGUACGAUUUAUUUGAAAGAUCUUUUUAUGUAAUGUGUGUAUGUACAAGUAGUCAGCCCUUUAUUGCAAGGGUCUCUGGAGUGGGCUACCGACACUGAUUGUGCUUUGUGUUAGUUUGGUUUUUACCUGUAAUAUCUGAAGAAUUUGAUGGAAUCUAUUUGCAUGAAAAUUUAGGGUGAGACGAUUGAAGUCUGAGUGUUACUUGAAAAUUCCCCCCAAUUCAUCAUGCUUGCACUCAUGAUGACAUUUUUCACAUAAACAGUAUCAUUGACCUGGUAAGGUAAUUUGAUCAUUGGUUGAUGCUCAAAAUAAAAUAACCUUUGCUUGCCUUGUGACAAAUACAUCUGCUGCCGGUGGGGGAGACAGAGGUGACUGUUGGCUUCCCAGCUCAGCUGCCCAUGCUGCUGACCAGCAGGCUCCUGUAGCCGCCUUCGGGGUUGUGUUCUGAAAUGCCAACUUAAACAGGCUUAUUGGAAUGCAAGUGAGCAAGGUAGCCUAUUUUAGAGAGAGUCUGAUUUACUGAAAUCUACAUAAGUGACACAGCACUCAGCUAUGCUUUCCUGAGUACAGAUUCCUUCUAACACCCCCUGAUGGGCAAAUCUGCAAGGGACACCUGGUGCUCCUUCAUGGCCAUUGUCUCCAUGUUGAGGUGACUGUGGCACUGUUUCCUAGGGACCCUUCUGGGUGCUCUCACAUCGCUCUGGCACCCACUAUACUUUUUCUUUCCUGAUUUGGCUGCUCUGAUACUGGAGCCUCCUGGCCACACACAACUGUGCUCUGUCUCAGACAUUUCUGGUACUUUCUGUGUUAUGCAUCUGUUUAUUUCCUGCUGUCUCUAUUAUCAAAGCCCUGGGAGGAGAAAUGCCUUUCAGCCUCUGGAUGGCAGCACCGUGGUUGUGGCCUACUGGAAGGCUAUCCAUCAGGAAAUCAAGUGAACCAUUCUAGUCAUUGGUUUUCCCCUCCCCCAUUCACCUUUCAACUCAGCCCCCGAAGUGCCAAGAUCAAAGCUCGGCCUCCCAGGGUUAAAAUCUGGUCUGGCACAUGAGUGACUUGAUUCUUACUUGCCUUACAUAGGAAGGAUAAGAUUGCUAUUUAUUGAAUUCAUUACCAUACAUAGUAAAGCCAAUCUAAUCAUCUAAUUUCCUAUGUACAGAAUCUAAAUUGUUGCUGAAUUCUGUUUUGACUUUUAUUUUUAAAAGGCACUGAUCUAUUUUAUUACGUUCUUCUGCAGACUGACCCAGCAUAAGUUCAUCACUUGCGAUGAUUUUAUAAAGUUACUAGUUGUACCAUCCAGGAUUCCACAACCUGGAACCUUUAAAGAGUCCAUAGCUGGGCUUCAGGUGGACCGCAACCUUUGGAAAUUACAUGCAAAGCAUUGAUCACAUACUCAGAUGCACCUCUUCCUAGAGAUGAGUCCACGCACUUCUGAUGGAUCAGUGACUACAAAAUCAGGAGCCGCUGUGAUGCCUGAGGCAUACAGAGAAAAACCGGCUGGACUAGGAAGACUCUCCACGCAGGCCAGGUAGAUGAACUGAGGGGAGGGGGCGACCCUUCCACCUCCAGCACCCACUGGGACCAACGCGGGGUCUGGGGGAGGCUCCCAUUACAGCGCAGCUCCUUCUCCAAUCACCGCAAAGACGCUCUGCAGAGUGUACCAAGCCCACAAACAGGUCAAGUGCAUCUCCAGAGGGAGGGGGAGAAGGAACAAUGACAAAACUAGCAGCAAUGAAGUGGAAGUCCUAACAAAUGGUGAAGUCGAGGUGGUCCUUGAGGCAUGGGUCAGUUUAGCAGUGGGAUUAAAGCAGGACACUUCAGGCCACAGUGACGUUGGGUUGGUGACCUGGACUGCACAGUGCCCCCCCAUCGUGGGUUGAGGCCCUACCUCUAGUGCGACUGUAUUUGGAGAUAUGGCCUGUAGGAGGUAAUUAAAAUGAAAAGACUGGCAAGGGUGAGGCCCUAAUCCCAUAGGGUUAGUGUACUUUUUAAAAAAGGUAAUGGAGAGUGCUUGUGAGUCUCUCCCUCUAAACCCACCCUGCCGGACCACAGUUUUAGGCUUCCCAGCUAUCAGACUCUGAGAAAAGUGGAUUUUUCCUGUUAGGACCUCCCAGUCUGUGAGCAUUUGUAGAUCAGCUUGAGCAGACCCCUGCAGCAGGUUUCUCAAGGACGCUCACAUUCAUGCAAGGUCAUGACUAAGGGGGUCACUGACCAGGUACCACCCAGAGGCAAGCAGGAUGUUUUCCAAGCAGUAAAGAACCCUGAUUUUGUUCCAGGGAUUUCUAAGGUUUAUUUCAAUCAAUAUGUGUUAGCAGUCAAAAAAUCACUGUAACCAUGAGUAAUCCAGUACCAUAAGUCUCCAGGAAAACUAGAUUCAGAGUCCCAAAGGCUACAGAUAUUAAAGGAGAGGAAAUACAUCAUCUGCAUAUGAAAUAUUAAAAUAAUUACAGCAUAGAACAAGCAAGAAAAAGGGUCACCCAAGAUGACCAGGUAGAUUGGAAAACAAUCAAAAGGAACCAUAAAAUAUAAAAAGUAAUAAUUUUCAGAAAAAUAAUGAAAGUAAAAGAUAGAUUCAGAGUAUCAGUCAACAUUUCUGAAGGAAUCAGGGUAAAUGACAGGGUGGCAAUGAGGUGACAUCUGGAAGAGUAGCUGGGAGGGAAGAUGAAGUCCUGAGAAGACCUCGCUUACCUUUAAUGAGCUUUCCUGAGAGAAGAGAAUUAGAGGGAAGGGAGUUCGGGGCAUGGGGUGAGAAUCAUUGCACUAGAGACACUCCAGAAUCCACAGGUGUGACAAGCAGGAGAUAAAACACACAAGAAGAAGAGAAAAGGAGGAAAACCUGGAAAUAUUGUCAUGAGACUGCAGACUGUCAAAUAUGAAGACCUUAAUAGCAUUGAUAAGAAAAGGAUGAAUCUCAUACAAAGAAACAAAAUUUUCCUCCAAUGAUUCUCUAGAAUAGUAACGACAGACCAAAACCCAACAGCUGAGAGACAUAAGCCAAUUUUACAAAUAUUUAUAUGCUACUCUACUUGAAAGCCUGCUCAAGAUGGACAAAUCCAGAACAAUGUGAAAGUACACAUGGUCCCAUAACCUUUGAAUAGGCUGAAUCAGUAGAUUAAAAUGUUCUUACAAAGGAAGCCCGCAUCUCAGAAGGUUUUUCAAGAAAUUAGUACUCAACAUUCAAAAAUCAGAUUAUUCCAGGUUUAGAAAAAUUCUGUUGGAAAUAAUGAGAUCUCCAAUUCAUUCUCUGAUACUAAAUGUUAUGCCCUCAAUUACAAACCCUGAAAAGAACAUAUGAGAAUAAAUACUAGCAGUCAAUCUGACCUAUGAGCCUAGAAGAAAACUUCUUAACUCAAAUGACAGCAAGUCCAAUCUAGCAGUACAUAAAAAAGAGUGAAUUAGUAUCAAGUACCAAGUUGCGUUCUUCCCAGUGGUUGACUAUUCGAUACCAUUGAAACAUUUUACUUAAGAGAUGAAAGACAAGCCUAGGGGAGGUAAUGAGGGAGAGAACACACUAUUUCAUGAUGAAAACCCUCAAUGUGACGGGAUGGGAUGGAGGAUUAACCAAAAAGAGUGAUUACCAAAAAACUAUCAGCAAAAACAAUUCUUGAUGAUAACAUAUUAGAGACAUGGUUUAAAGUUGUAAGAAAAUGAUGCCCAUUAUCAGAGUUUAUAGUCAACACUUUGGUCACUGAAGAAGAUCAGAAGGGAAAGAUAAAGUGGGGAAUUGUUAUAAUAGAGGAAAAUUGUCAUUUAUUUGCAUAUGUUAUGAUUGUCAAUCUAAAAAAUGCAAGAAAAUAUCAAUGUGAAUUACUGAAAUUAAUAAGAAACUAAAGCAGUAUUUUUCCCACUUCAUGAUGCUUUUAAUCAUCGUUAGUGAUUCUGACUAUCAAUUUGUUGGAUAUUUAGGAUGGUCACUCUUGCUUUCAUUUCUGUUCACUUCCAGAUGUCUAUUUGCUCACCCACUAUUCAAUCUUUCAUUUUGGAAUUUCUUUUUACAUGUAUUUCUGCAAAAAGCUGUUUGAUUUUUCUUUAAGCUGGUCUUUGAGUGGAAUUCAUCCUGUGCUCACGGAAUGUAUAAUGUCCAACACACUUGAUUUCAUUCUUUCCUUCUUGCUUUAUGCUUAUUGCUAUGCUACAUUAAGCACCACAGUUUCUCUUUCCUUUUUAAAAGAUUUUUUUCUGUUCAAAUCGCAUUGCUCUUUUGACUCAUUUUGCUUUGCCCUUCUGCUGUUUUGGUGGCUAAACGUACGUCCAGAUUUCUCCAAACACUCCCUUUGGUCUGAGGUGGUCAUUAAUACCCUGCCCUUCACCCUCAGAGAAUCUUGCUUGGAGGAGAUGCUAUCAGCAGUGGCUCUCACGCUCCCUGGUCCCUAAGUGGCAGCAGUCUCCACACUUGUCCCCCAGCUUAGAGGGAGAUUCCUUUUUAGUAAGAUAAUUUCCUCACUCCUCUCCCAUUUCAGUGAAAGCACUGAAAUACUUUCACUUCUUCCCUUUCCUUCAGUAGAUUAAAAUGUUCUUACAAAGGAAGCCCACAUCUCAGAAGGUUUUCAAGAAAUUACUACUUAACAUUCAAAAAUCAGAUUAUUUCAGGUUUAGAAAAAUUUAGAAAAAAACCGAAUGUCUUGCUUUGAUGUUUUAGUUCAUUUAAUUCCAAAAUAUUGUAAGAAUGUGAAAACAGUGUGCACAUGCACAUAAAUGUGUGUGUGUGUGUAUUCAUUUCAGGAACCCUUAUUUAGCAUUUAUAUUAACUCCCUGGCAGAGCAUCAUCCUCCCUUUUGAUAUAACCCAGGAUGGACAGCUCACUGUUUUCUCUAGGUGAUGUCAGUUUUCCAUUCUGAUCUUUUGAUAUUUGAAUAGAGCCUUUCUCAGUUUUUUUCUGGGUGGAAGUUUUGUGGGUAACAGAGGCUCCCAUCCUUCCUACUCCAACAGAGACUUCACCCUGUAGGAAGCAGGUUAUCAUAAAUCGAGGAAUGUGGGUACAGCCCGUGGUGGUCUCUGCAUGUUCAUCUGCUGUCUUCCGGCAGGAACUCUUCCCUCCAGAUCUGCUCAUUCUUCCAUUUGCCUUUCCCUCUCUGUGACAGCAGAGCACCCUGGGGUAGGUGAUUUCUCUCUUCAGCCCUCUGAGAUCCAGCUGCUGGGUUACUAAACAGUGAAAGUGCAUGGGGGGAGUGCAGCAGUUGCUGGUGUGGGGGUCCCUGCUGGGGCACCAGAAGUCUACUUCUCUGCAGCCCUGGGGGGAAAGCAUCCUGUCCCUCCACACACUCCCUCCUCCACCCAGCGAGGGCCAGGAGCAGAACCCACCAGUUCACUCUCUUCAUCUUUUUUAGGCAUAAAUGAAUACCUGUUGUGAGUUCUGCUCAGAGAACUAUCACCUCCUUGGAGACAAAUUUCUAGCACUGUCCCCUCUCCACUAAGAUAUAAUUUAGGAGGAGGAAAGGAUUUUUGCCUGUUCUGUUCCUGGCAUUAUUGCUAGUGUUUAGAUGAGUGCCGGCCAUGAGUUACUGCAUGAAUGGCUGUACUUUGGAAGUGACAUUAAAUAGUAAGUUAGCAUGAGUUUGGAAAGUGAUUGCAAAUAGCAACUUUCCAAGUAUUGCAUGCUCUUUAUUGCAACAAGAAAAUAUUUUCUGCUUUAAAAAGGCAUGUAAAAAACUUAUUUGACUGACUGAGAAUAGUAGUUAGGAGUACCAGUUUGUGCAGUGUGUCACCUUUAUUUUUUUUCCAUUGAAAGAGGACAUAUAAAACAUUAAGCAUAUACUGAACAUUGUAAGAGGGCUUAAACUUGUAAAGAUGGAUUUUACUUAGGGGCAUGGUGAUCCCCUCUGAUGGGCAGUGCACCUGUAGAGAAGAGUGUCUGAGGUAGGAACUUAGCUGGGAGGGUGGCCCUUUCCUGUGAGGGGUCAGCUUGCAGGAAGUCAGCCAUCCAGACCUGAGGAGGCAGGACAGAGGGUAGCCAUCAUCUGCAUGUGAGGCUGGUAGAGGACUAGGUGAGAAGAGAACGUGCUGGGAAAGUGAGUCACAUGCAGUGACAUUAGACAGCGCGGUGAGGACUUGGAGCGCUGCCUGUGCUCAAAGGCUUUCUCCCUCUUAUUAUCUAAUUUAGAACGGGAAAUGAAAGGCAGUCCUUACCCUCUACUACCCUAGGCUUCUCAUUUAUGCUAACGCCACCCCUUGUGUCCUGAAAAAAAUACUAUAAAAGCAGACCCUUAAAGGGAGGAAGGAAGAAUAGUCUCCAACUAUGUGGGACAAGACAUCCCUGAAAUGAAAGAAAUGAAGUGUGGGGAAUUAACUGGCCCAACAUGAUGGUGCAAUUCAUUUCUCUCUUGGGCUUCACCGUCUCCUUGGUCUUAUUUUCAGGGCAUCUGGAUACACUACAGGUGCAUCCCAAUGGGAAAAGAGCAUUUUCCCUCCAUACGGGAGGUUUGGGUGGGAGACAAUAAUAACCUUGAAGCCACAGGACCCCACGAGAUUGACGUUUUUUGGUAUUUGAAUAGAGCCUUUCUCAGUUUUUUUUUCUGGGUGGAAGUUUUGUGGGUAACAGAGGCUCCCAUCCUUCCUACUCCAACAGAGACUUCACCCUGUCCAUCCAUCAAGUAAUGUAGCCAUGUCCAUCCAUCAGGCAAUGCAGCCAUUCCUAGUUCAUCCCUUAUCUGUAACCUGAAUUCUAUUACCAUUGAGCUUUUAGUCAAGUCACGGAGAACAUUAAAACCCAAUCUCAGCUGUGCUCUAGCAGUUAGUAAGAAAUGUGGGGAGAAAUACCAUUCUCCUCUAGACUCUUACUCUCAGUAUUACUUACUGGGUUCUUCUCAUGUCCCUGACUGUAAACAUUGGGCGUCCCCGGGGUCUAGACCAGGGACCUUUACUGCGCACUCUCCCUUUCUUGGCAGUCUCACACUUUCCAUAAAGGGUAGGGCCUGCCUGUAGAUCACAACAAAAUAUCAGAAUCCAGCUCUAGUUCUUGCUUGCUUGCGAGUUAAUUAUCCCAUCUAUUGGGAGAUUCCACGGUUCCACCUUCAAACCUCAAUCCCUGUCCUCUCCACCUUCGCUGUUACCACCUCGGCUUCAUGUCACCCUCUUUGCUUGUUUGAUGAGCCCAGCAGUUUCUCUGCGUUGCCUUUGCUCCCUUUAUAUUCUCAACACAGAAGCCACAAUGAUCCCCUGAAGGUAGAACCAGUAAAAUUCACUGCUCUGACGAAAGCCCUCCAAUGGCUCUCCAUUUCCUCUAGACCAAAGCCCAGCCUUCCACGCCGACAGCCCUGUGCGAUCUGGACUCCAGCUGUCUCUGGCUUCACCUUUCUCUCCGCAUCCCCAGCUCAUUAGUAAUUUGAGUACCAGGUUCACUGACCUUCUCCUUGGUCUUAUUUUCAGGGCAUCUGGAUACACUACAGGUGUAUCCCAAUGGGAAAAGAGAUACACCUGUAGUGUAUCUCUUGAAUUAAUUACCUGUUUGCUUCAAACUCCGGGCCUUGGACAUGUUUUCCAUUUAGAUCCCAAAAUAUUUAUAUUUCUAACUUCCUCAGGGUUUUCCUCAGAUCUCCUGUCUCUGGUCCCCUGUUCACCUUCUCUGAAGUUGCAGUUUACCUUAAUCCCAGCUCUUCCUACCACACCUCCUUCCUCUGAUUUUUUCUCUGUAUGACUUGUCACUCAGUUGCUUGUCUGUCAGCUCCCCACCCUGCCCCUGUACCCCUUCCCACAGUAUGAAAUGAUGGGUGCCUUUCCAUUUCCUUCUCUGCUGUAGCCCCGGUGCUUGUCAAGGUGGAUGCAACAUAGUAAGAAUCUUAUUCACCAUGACCCAUGGAGUGAACAAAUGACUGAAUCUCCUCUGAGACCAUGGUGUUGGCGGUGGUAGAUGUGCAGUGGGAAAUGCGUUCUGAAGUGGAAGAUUAAUAUUCACAAGUAAGGUUAAUAAUCUAAGUCAAAUGACAAGAAAAUAGCAAGGGCAGAGUCAUGAAAUGUAUGUAUGUCAUGUGACAAAUCCCUAGGGACCGCAAAGAUGCCAGAGUUAGAAGAAUCUUCAAAAGAGGGCUCAAGGUCCUGCAAGCACAGCUGGUACUCAUAGUGAGAUUUAGUUUUGCAUAUUCAUGUGACACUCAUUGAACAUGUAAAAUGAUGAAAAUGGUGGUCACUUAGUGCUUAUGUUUUUAGUUGGGUGUGUGUUUGAGUAUAUUUGCAUAUACCAAAAUAUGUAAGUAUGUGUGUGUAUGUCGGUACAUACUUGUUGAAGGCCAAAUUGUCCAAAUGUCAGCAGUGACUCCAUGUUAUACAAUGAGUGAGUUAUAAUCACAGUAUAUUUUAGUAUUUUCAUUUUAAAUUCUUUGCAUUGAAAUUUUUUUCUAUGACUCACAUCGGUUACUUUUAGAACAACAAAGUCACUGUUAGGGCAGUUGUGGUUUUGACACUCAGGUACACAGUGUGGAAGUGGGUUUGCUGUCCAGGUUCUGAUCAGGAAGGUGUGGUGCUGAUGUGUUAAAGGUGGCCACGCAGAGCAGUUUUAUUCCAUGAAUCAAAUUGCUCUACUAAUUACGAUUUGAAUAUUGAACCUGGGCUUCUGUUGUUGGAAUUGAUGACCUAUUACUUACGGUGAUGCAUUUCAAAACUGGGCCUUUCUUAGUGAUAUGAAGGAAAUUUUAAAUAUAUGGAUGGGUUACACAUUCUAGAAGCAUUCCAUCUGUGCAUGGCGGAGACCAAGACCUCCUGUGGACCUAAGGAAAGGUUCCUGAGGCGAACUGCUUGAAGGGGCCAUCCAAUCAACCUUGGGGACUCUCACUGCUUGAUUUAGCAUUUGAGCUGAGAGAUUGUUGCUGCUGAAUUUGGGUAAGAGGCCUAAAUGAAUAAUGGAUGAAGAUUGGCUCUUCCAGCAGUUUAAACGAUAGAAACCUGGAGCUGUGUCCAGUUUUAAGGCUACAUUUUAUGCCUGAUUGCUGGUAAGUAUUUAACAAACAUCCACCAGGCAGCUCCUGCCACUCCUCCUAGCUUUGUAGGUAGCGGGUGGCUAAUGUUCAUCCGUCUGCUUUCUCAGCAUCUACCCAACCAAGAUAGAUCAGUCUGGCUUAGGCCAGACUCUAGCACACAUGUUUAGGACCCUGUGAUAUCUAAAGUCCUCGUGUCGUCACUCUCCCUGUAGUUACUGAACCUACAAGUCUACUGUUUGCAGCCCUUCCGUGGCUUUUACUCACUGUGGGGAGCAGGACUCGGAACUGCGGUUCCUUGCCUCUACUCGUCACAUUUUACUACAUUGAUUCCUUUGUGUGAUCUGGAUAUCUCAAGCACAUGAAAAAUGCACAGAAUGCUUUUGCAUAAAGAUACGAAAAAAUCACGUGAUGUUUCAGAUCCAGUGUGCCAGAGAACGUUCUAGUAUUUGUCCUUAAUUUCAAGUGAAAAUGUGAUGCAAACCUUGACCCACGAUUGUCCUUGACCCAUUUCCAAAGGCAGGCCUGUCGGUGUUUCCUCUCCCAGGCCUCCCCUUUCGCUUUGGUUCCCUCUUGAAUGCAUCUGGAAGCUGAGCAUCUCCCCCAAGGCAGGCUCCAGCCGUCACUCAGUGAGUGCAACGCAAUGCCACAUCUGCCCCAUCCACCCUGACUUCUCAAGAAUUCAGCAUUAGCUUGAACGAUUCAUUUUGCCUUCAGCAAAUAUUUUUCUUAUUUGUCUACUUUAUAUAUUGAUCAUUGCUUUUUUAUGUAGAUGAGCGUUUCUGUAUCUUCAUCUUUUAUAACCUCUUUUUUGAGUAAUGGGAUGGGAUAGAUCCUUCAUCAGAAUCCCGUUUCUACUUACAUUACUCACAUCUCAACCUCAAUAAACGCAUCUUAUGUGGCAGAGGGAAAUUCUUUUCUUUGAAAACAAGCUUAUGUAAAAUGAAUACUACUGUAUCUUUUGAAAGAAAGUACAGUGCAUUAUCUAAUUAGAAUUAAAUUAACAGCGUAUUCUAAUUUUAUUAAUUUAUUGAGUUAUAAUUGAUAAAUAAAAGCUGUAUGGAGGUGAAGCACACAGCAUUAUGGUUUCCUACAAGUAUUCACAUGAAGUGAUUACACGUUAACUGACGUGGCUUUCACCAUUAAUAGCUGUCCUUUCAGUGUGUGUGGUGAGAAGCUCUAGAAGCCGUCCCUUGCCCAUUUCAAAUAUGCGGUGGAGCGUGACUAACUGGAGUCUCCAUGCUGUACCUUGAUGCCCAGAGCUUUGCCGGAUUGUGUGUAUAACUAGGCUGGAGAAUCAUCGUCAUACUUUUCAGAUGUGUAAUGUGACAGUGCUGAUCUUCGUAGCAUCCUUUAUAUAUAAAGCAUUUAAAAAGUAAUGGAGUCUGUGCUGGCCGUGGUUACUGAAGGGACAGUCACUUCACAGGCCGUGCUUGUUCCUCUAGGUGUCAGAUUUUGUCAAGCUCCCCUUAUUGUUUAAAAUUUUCAGCCUCUUCUAAAUGUCAGGUGGCUGGACUUCACCAAGGACAUUGCCACAGUUAAGGGUACCUGGAUCAUGAUUUCUACCUUCUAAGAUCCUGUCUUAUGAUCAAGCUUUUAUACAUUUUUAUAUUAUUUACUUUUUUUGCUCCAACAAUUCUUAUAAAUAAUUCUGUAGCUUCGGUUUUCUCAUUUCUGAAGUGUGAGGUGUUUGAUAAUGCAUGGGCUCCAUUUAAACACUAGCAUCUAUGAAUUCCUUGGUUAUGAAGCAUUUAUUGAACGUAGGUCAUGGGCGUGCUUGGCACCAUGAUAAAGACCAAAGAUUCAUAAAGAUAACCAAGACAUUUUGUGACAAUUAAAUGUUCCCAAAGUAGUUGGGAAGAUAGGACAUAUGUGAAAGAAUAGUAGAUGAUUUACAGUAUGAUGCAAUGUCAUUGAAGUAAGUGGGAAAAAUUAUGUCUGCUGUAGAAUUUUGUUUAUCUUCAAACAUUGCAGUGAUGAGCAAUUUCAGAAAGGAAUAGAGAGUCUUUAGGACCUAGAGAGGUGCGUCAUUAGGCAGAUGACUAGGAAUGAAGGAGGUCUUGAAGGGUAAGGAAUUGACCAGUUGUGCAUACCUGUCACGGGUAGGUUUCAGUGAUUAUUCUGGGUAUUACAGUGUACACAUGUGUUGGGACACAUUUACAACUUGUGUCUAGAUGUUACUACUUUGAAUAAAGCAAACUUUCCCUUUCUAUCCACACUUUUAAACACCUUCAGAUGGUGUCGUGAUUUUUGUCUCAAACACAGCACAUUUGGAGAGCUUAGGAGGAGUCUGUGUUGACUGAGAUUUCUGCUUUUUCUGUUCUUCUUGCUCCCUAAACCUCACGUGUCUUUCUCUCCUCCUGUCCUUCCUCUUGGAAGAACUUCCUAUAGCUAUUCUGAAGGUCAUGUCUUUGGUCCAUUAGUAACAUUCCUCCCGCCCUUCAAAUUUUUCUUUAUCUGAAAACGUAUUAUUUUCCUUUAUUCCUACAGAAUAAUUUCUAUUCAGAUACAAUGAUGGUUGACAGAUUUCUGAGUACUGGAAAAUUGUUGUGCCACUCCUUCCGGCCCAUGGUCCCGGGCAUUUCUGCUCUCAUUCGCUUCUGUGUCCCCUGUAGUUAACGUUUACGUCUCUCUGGAUGCUUUCCAUGAGCUACCUUUAUCUCUAGGUUUUAGAGGUUUGAUUAUGAUAAGUCUUGGCCUGCAUUUCUUUGGGUUCGUUUUAUAGAGAGUUGGAUUCGCUUAUUGAAUUUGAAGGCUUGUGGUUUUUGUUAAACUUGGGGAAUUUCCAGGUGUUAGGUCUUUGAAUACUCUUUAAGCCCACUCUCUCUCCCGCCUCAUUCUGAGAAUCCAGUGAUGUGUGCUGGACCUUUCACACCCUCCCACAGUCUACCAAGGCUAUUAUUUUUUUCCACUCUAUUUGAUCCAUUGUCUGGAUUGGGUGAAUGCUCUCGAUGUGUCCUCAAGUUUGCGAAUGAUGUUCUCUGUUAUCUCCACUCUGCUUUAGGAAACAUCUAGUGAAUUUUAUCUUUUGCUUCUAUUACUGUAUUUUCCUGUUUUACAAUUUCAAUUUAGUUCUAUUUUAUAACUUUGAUAUGUUUCCAGUGUUCUUUCUUUUUAAAAUUUAUUUUAAAAGAGUUUGUCAUCGAUGUUAAAUUAUGUUUUGCAUUGUUGCUUUCUAAAGCUUUAUUAGAUAAUUCUGACAUCUGUUUCAAAUUGGUGUUCCCAUUAGUGCCUCGUCAUUUCUCAUCAAUUUGUGAUUUUCUUAACUCUUAGUAUAAUGGGUGAUUUUCAGUUUUAUCCUGAAUAUUUUAGCUCUCAUGAUAGAAAUUCUGGAUUUAUUCAUUCAUUCAUUCAUUCAUUCAUUCAUUCAUUCAAUAAUUUGUUUAAAAAAAUUAGUAGGCACGUACAUGUUGACGUGUAGCAUACACCUGCCUUUGCUGGCUGUGGUUUUAAUAAUAAUUGAUUUUCAGAGUCCUUGUCAUGUUAUUUUGAUCUGCUGACUUUAUAGUGUGCCACGGAGGCUCUUAUUGGUCCCUGUUUGUGAUACUAAAGUGGUGGACAAAGGAGAUUUUCCCAGUCCUGGAUUCCUGUUUCCUCUAAGUGGGAGUCCCUGGCACAAACAAAAACGUUUCCCCACCUUGUGUCUCUGCUGGAGAGUUUCAUCUGAGUUUGGGAGAGUGGGUGGGCUUCCUGGCAGGCAGUUGUCAUUGCAGGAUCUCCCUUGCUGACACACCUGGCCUCCAGUGUCCCCUGGCAGGGGAGGAGUCCACAGUGAGUGGAAAAUGGAGAAGCAGCAGAUUGUGCUGAGCAAGACAGAUUUAGCCAGGCAACUGGCACUUCUCCAUCCUUUCCUUCUUUGGAGACUCCUCUCCUCCUUCUUCUCCCCUUUCUUUUUCUCUUAGAUUCAACACCUAAUACAAGGCUUUGCACAGCCUAUCAUGAUACAUUUUUAAAAAUUUUAUUUCUGCCCUUUGUUAUCCUUGCAUUUUAAAUUAUUUCAUUUCUAUGGUCAUUAUCAUUUCUAAAAGUUAUAUAUGAUGUUUCCCCAUGGACUGGCCAGAAUUCAGAAUCUAGAAAUAGAAUGAUAAAUUAGUGAUAAUAUAGCCCCUAACAUUUUUUAAUAUUGUUACUCAGAAAUCUGGAUCCUAGAUCUGAGAAUCUCAGCAUAUUUGCGUCUAUUUUCAAAUGUACUAAUUGUUAUUCUUUGAAAAUAGUGUAUGUAAUAAUAUUAAAAAUGGUAAAAUAAUAUGUAGAAACUUCAUUUUAGAAAUUGGUCAUUUGAAUUAUCAGAAACAGGAAUUGAAAGUAAAAGAACUGGUUUUAUCAUAUUUUAUUAUAAUUUAAUUCUAAAAUAACAAUAAUAAGGCUUAUUUUUUCAAAUUCCUAUAUUUCCAGGAUUCAAUAAACUUUGUAGACUUUUUUUCCAGGAUUAAGGAUGAGUCAGGUUAAUUUCACAUGUCUCCUAGAGCACUGUGAUUAUUGGUGGUCCCUUAGGCUCUGAGAAUUGAAAGUGUGGCAGUAUAACAGAAUUUAUGUAUUGUCAUUUCUUGUGAGUAACAUGGUUGAACAUUUCUUUAGAUUUCCUUCUGUGUUCUUCUUUAUUUAGCAUCCUAAUAAACACAACAUGUUAAAUGGAUGUUUACAGUGAAUUGGUCAUGGUUAGAAUGGAUUUUGUUUUAUUUCCAUUUGAGGGACUCAAGAGUUUUUAAUGUUGUCCAUGGGUUUACUUGGACACUUUUGCAAAAAAAUAAUCUCAGCAAGCUUUAACUUGAGCAAAUUAUCUUCUUAUAUGUGUUACAUGUUAAAUUUAGAGUUUUAAGAAUAUAAUGACAUAGAGGAAAAGUAGAACUGUGAUCCUACAAUCCAGGACCCAUGAAUAUGGUAUAGUAAGCAGAUUACAUUUUUAUAUAUUCCACAUUAACAUUAAUAUUAUAUUUGGAGCAUGUGCUCUUUGGGAUCUUUAAUGCAAUCAUCUUGCUAUCCACUUAAAGUGGUGUAAGUUGGAAGAAUUACAGGAUUCUAUACUGUAGGACAGACAUUCUAAUUUUUGACCAGACAUCAGGAGGCACAUUUAUUUUUCCUGGAGAAAGGAUGGUAAUUUCUUUAAUGUUUGUACAAUAUUUAUGUGAGAUUUCUUAAUUAGUUAAUACCAACUCUAGAGCAAAGAUCAUUUCUAGCUAACGCUCUCAGUGGGAAAUCAGGGAUAUUUCCCUCAAUUCUCAGGCUAGAGAAAAUGUUGAAAGGGUUUUCUAACACUAGAAAAGAGUUAUGUUGAAGCCUCAGUUGAUAAUUAAAAUUCUCAUCUGUUGUAAAGACUUUCACAAAGAAAACAUUUCACCUUGAAAAUUGUCUACUAGGACAGAAACGCCUUCCGCCAGUUGUGCUGGAUUGUCUACCCACAGUGAAUUUAACCAUUACAUUUCUUUAUUAAUGCAUGGGACCAGAAUGUGUAUGAUCAUGACUGAGAAAUGGCCUUCUCGUUCCUUUUGCCAUCAUCGUCCAUCUCCUCUACAUUUCCCAUCAACAUCAUCCUUGUCAUUGUGGUCAUCAUUGUCUUCAUCCAAAUGCCAUUUGCUGAUAAAUUAUGUCAUAAUAUAUGAUAGGACCUUAUUGGUGUAAAAUGUUUUUAUGCAAUAUUAAUAUGUUCCAUAAAAGUAUACCUUGGGAAUUUUUUAGGAAUAUGUUAAAGCAUCAACUAUAAUCAUUUUGAUUGAAAAUAAAGCAGAGACCUAUCAGAGAGCAUAUUAUGUAUUUCUGUCUCUAUAAUUCUCAUUAACUGACAUCAUUAUAAUUUAAAUAUUUAAAUACAUUAAUAAACAGUAAAUUAACUCCAUUUAUUGUAUAGUUACUAAGGUCAGACUCUGUUAAACAUCAUGAAUUACUUUGAUUAAAAUUUGAAAAGAAAUUAAAAAGUAGCAAAUAUUAUUAUCAUGAUCCCUUUUAUUUAAGGGCAGAAAGAUGAAACUUAGAAAAUUUCAGUAAUUUUCUUGUGGUUACAUAGAAUUUGGUGAAGCUGAAAUUAAAAUCUCUUUCUAUUUGCAUCUGAAAGAAAAGGAGAAUUUGGUGGUAGACAUAUAAUCUAGUUUAUAUUAGUUAAUUUUGAAUACCUGCUAUAAAAAUAUUUUGGAUUCUUGGUCUACACAUUCCUUUAAGUGAAGGAAAGCAUACAUUUUUUUUUUUUUUUAGAUUUAUUUGAGUAUUUUUACACCCAAGGGAAGUGUGGGUUAGUUAUUUAGUCCAGCAGCUGGAUUUCACUGUCGUGUGCUUCACAUUUGAAGUGUGCUGUUGUGUGAACUUCUGCCCACUGCUGGCCCCAUCUCUGGAUCUCAUUAACAUCCUGAAGCCCCCUGUGAGGGUGAUGGGAAACCCCUCUGUCCUCAGUCAAGUUGUCUGCACCACACUCCUGGGAGCUGUUCUUGUGCUGACCAGUACAUCUCAACUUGGCCGUGCCUCCUCUGAGGUUUCUGAAUGUGGUAGCAAAAAUCUCACCUUCAUGUAGCUUCCAGGGCAUCUAGACUCAGGAAGUGCAGAGUGUAACUCCUCUGUCCCUUGGCAUCCAGUGACCAUGUUCUUAUCCACCUUUACUUCCCCAAGAGCCCACAUCCAGGCACAUCUUAUCUUUUACACCAUCUCAUUAGUUGGAAUUUUAUUCGUUCUUUCUGUUUGUUCCAGGGGCCUUAUUUUCAUACUUCAGCUCUUGAGGAAAAAACAAAAAAGAAAGAAAGAAGACUGCCUUGGCAUGAAGCCUUUGUGACGGGAACCCAGCCCCUGUUGGCAGAUAUGCUUACCCUCCAAAUCCUGAUACCACCCCCACCCCCAGCCUGCUUCUCCUGCUUGCUCUCAGCUCUCCUGGGUCCUCAUGUGUCAAAAGUCAUCUCCGUUCACUGCUAAGGAACUUCAGGAAAACCCCUUUUCCAUAGCUCUUAUGCAUGUCUUAUAUAUUAUAUAUAAAAGAAGCUAAUACAAAUAGCUAUGUGUCAAAUGCAAAAGGCAAAUACAAUUUUAAUGAA
rnacentral:lncRNA from 1 species